UGAGAGUGAUGGGGAAAGGCCAGUUGUACAUCUUCUUGUCGAGGAUGUACUUGUUGUAGACGAUGACGGUGAAGCUGAGGAAGAUCCAGAUCGCGACGUAGGUGUAGGAGAGGAUGAUCUUCUUGAUGACUCCAUCGCUUAGGGCGCCGCCUUUUCCCAUUGUGGCUGGUGGUGGCUUUCGACGGAGGAUGAGGGAGGAGGAGGAGGAGGAGGUGCGUAGGAUAGCGUCGAGGGUGCAGGAUAAAAGGGGGAGUGGAGAGGAGACCUUUUGGUGUGGUGUUAAUGUAGAGAGAGGGUUGGCAUGACUGGGCUACGCUACGUGGCUUUUAAUACUCCUUUUUUUUUAAUUGACUAAUGGGCUUAGAUCUGGGGCCCAUUGAAAAUUCUCCCUCCCUAUUGUUUUUGAAUUUUCAAUGUAUAAAUAGUGUUUGUUAUUCACUUUUAUGUGGACUAGGGACCCGGGUUUAUCUUCUAUAGUUUUAGAUUUUUCUAUUAUUUUGUAAUUUAUAAUUGAUUCUAAUGUACUUAACAUUUGUAUAAAAGUGUGUGUUAUUCACUUUUACCAAAUUUUAAUUAAUUUUGAAUUUAUGUCUAGAUAACAUGUUUGCUUAUUUUUAAAACUAUUUUAUUAAUUUCAUUUUUUUUUCUUUUGAUUACAUAUAACAUUUUAUGUGGAUGUGAUGUGGGAUAUUUUUAAAAAUAUGAUUAAAUUUACAGUUAUUGCCAGUCAAAAUUACUUAAAUUAUUCCUACUAGUCAAUAUUACCUUUAAAUUUCCUUUUUACAACACUAGAGUAAACUGUCUAUCAAUAAGAUUAUUACUAUGUUAUUUUCUGAAUUUGAUCUGGAUCCAUUGUCUACUUCAACAUUUACCUUUAUCAACAUUUACAUUAAAUAUUGUAUUAUUCACAUUGAUGUUUCUAGUCUUGCCUAACAUUAACUACUGGUCUUCAGACUGUUAGGUUAUGUUUUUUUUUUUUUUUUUUUGAAUUGAAACUGUUAGGUUAUGUUGAUUGACAAAACAUAAAUUAUUGAUAAAAGAAUUGGAGGGUGGCAACUUUUUUUUUUUUUUUGUCACAGGGAGGGUGGCAACUUAAUUUUUAAAAGUAUGGCGUUGUUAAGAAGAGCUGAUGAUGACAGUUGGUUCUAACCUAAAGUCUUUAUUAUUCUUUGUCUUUGAGCUGAUAAGAGAUACUCAUGAUAAUUAAUGCUAUGACUAAGGGUUCAUCAGUUACAGGUUUCAAUUCCCGGAGAAACUGAUUUAUUAAACAAUUAUGCAGGCUACAGAAGAAAAGUUUACAAGGGAUUUUCAACAUGGUGCAAGUAAACUCGGUCAGGCGUGAUCUUCAUAGGACGGCUAAGGUGAUUCAGUUAGGCGUAGAUCUUUAUGGCAUGUAGUAUUGUCGGUUGUCGGAUCGUCUCUGUAAUCUUUCUCAUAAUUGUAAUAUCAUAAUAAAUCAGCGUUAAAAAAAAAAUACUCAUGAUAAUUCAUAAACUUAAGCCAAUCCCAUAUACAAUAUAAUUUUAUUAAAUAUAUUAUAUGUAACCUGCUAUUAAAAAAUAACUAGCCUUCUAUUUUAAAUAUUCUAUCCAAAUAACUAAUUGCUUUUAGUUAAAAAAAUAUCCUUUGUAUAUGUUUUUUUUUUUGAUGACCGUGGGGUUCCCAGGCGGUAAGCCCAGACUAAUCUCCACGAGGCCUUCCAUCCGGGUACGCACGGUUAUAGGCGGGAAGGUGGCCAAGGCGACUCGAACCCAGGGCGGGCACUGCAGCCGGAGUUCCAAUACCACUAGGCCAAGAGCUUUUGGUUUCCUUUGUAUAUGUUGCUAAAUAAUUUUUGGAAGAGAAGGAAACAACGGCAAAAGUUGAGGAUAUAAACCACAGUUUAUAUGGAUGUUAACGAAUGAAGCUUUCACAUCUGCAAAUUUACAAUAUGCAGAGAGUUUCUUCCCCGGCUUUGCAGAUGUGAGUUUGAUAUGUUCCAUCACGAUGUUAUGACACCCUUGAUUUUCAUCACAGUCUAGCUUUAUUGCAAUUUUACUUGCUGAAGUCCCUUCAAUAUAUCUGAAUGUUACGUCGCUUACUUUCACCGCAUUCCCCUGCAAUAUUCAUAAAACAUAUGUGCAUUCAAUAAAAAAUAUGAAUUGAACGUAAAACUCAUACCUAGAGGAAAACUAUUGUACGAUUUGCACAUUUAUCUUUUAGCAAAAAAAAAAUGUUUUGCACACUUAUGUCGUGAUCGUAAGAUACCAAAGGUGAAGCAUAUUGUAAUUUAGUCAUAUGGUUUUAUUACCAAUUGGUUAGUACAGUAACAAUAUUUCAUCGAAUUUGAUUUAUCAUCUAUUUAAGAUGUCUAGUUUGCAAGACUAGAUGUAAAAAAAAAACUUAGCUUAUAGUAUAUAGGUUUAUAUGUGAUUUGUAUACAGAAUUCUAGUAAAAAUUAAUAUAGUUUGAAUAUUACCUUGACAUGACCAGUGCCACCAUUAGAGUAAUGUUGAUCGAUGAUUAUGGGGUAUUUAGUAUUUGUUACCGUAAUAUUUUCAAAUAAUAUAUUCUUGGCUAACCCUUUUCCUCCCUAAAAUAUGCAAGGUUCAAUAUUAUAUAUAUUCUUCAGAAGAAUAUAAUAUUUUGGUUGCAAAAAAAUUUACAUGCCAAGUCUUGAUUCUUGCCCCAUUUUGAGUUCCCCAAAAGCUGCAGCUUCUUACGAUCACGUUCUCAACAGUGUCAUCUAUAUCACCUUUGCCCAAACUUCCAAUGCUGCGUUUUAUUUUGAAUUUUUAAGACAUAAUAAACAAGUUAAUGUUUUUUUUUUGAACAAAAUAAACAAGAUACGGAUAAACAAGUUAAUGUUUAAAAUAAUUUUCAUGAAACAAGUAAAAUACGGAUGAAUUUGAAUCUCUUUGUGCUGUUAUAUCUAGAAACCUGAUACCAUGACCUGGACCACAUGCCACACGAGUAAUGUUGAUGUCGGAAGAACCACCACGCUCACCAGUAAUUGCAAUACAAUCAUCACCUAAUAUGUAUGUAGGAAAUAUAACGACACAUAAAGAAGGAGUUUAUCAUACAUUUUCUCAAAUCCAGUCCAUGUAAUGUAAACAAAACUCAUUUUCAAAUUCAAAUAAAAAGAAGAAUUAAAGAGUACCAGUUUGGAUAGACGAGUCUAAGAUACGAAUAUUGUGUGAAAGAGAAAUACCAAUGCCGUCAGUGUUUGGACUCUUCUCGGGUGCUAGCAAAGUAAGAUUUGAUAAAGUUGCAUUGGUGCAACCAUAGACUGAAAUGUGAUUCUUUGGACUAUUGUAUUGAGUUAGCCCAUUAUAUAUUAUGUCGGUGCAUUGCUUAAAGCUAAGUGUCUGCACAUGCAACACAACAGAAUAAUGUAUAUUACUGUAAAAUUUACUACAUUGUUAUAUAUAAAGAGUGAAAAGGAUUAUGGUGGAAAGUGACCUACUCUGGGUCGUUUAGAGUGACGAACAGAUCGCCACCAAGUUUCUCCAUGGGGGUCAAGGACACCUGAGCCGUUGAUGAAGAGACUUUCCACGUUCUUGAACAUUAACCAACUCUCAGUUCGUUUGUUUCCCCACUGUUUUGGUCUCUUCGGCGCUUCUAUUUUCCCAUCGAUCUUACCCCAGAAAAAUAAAUUAUACAUGUAUGUGAAUAUGUGAAUCAUGUAAUACAUGUGUAUAUGUGUGAAUGGAUAACAAUUUUUGCAUGUGGUAUGUGGAUAUCUUCAUAUAAAUCAGUUGGAUUUAUAACGUGUUCAGAGUACCUGAAUAUGAAUGUAAGAAGAUACGCAUGGACCUUCAAACAGUUGUGGUUGUAUAGUGUAUUUUUCAUUCUCAUUUAUCACUAGCGAUGACCCGCCAGUCCCUUCACCUUCACCUUCGCAUAACCCUUUCCAUGCUUUUUGAAAUACCUUUUUUAAAAUGAUAAAUUUAACAUAUUACGUUUGUUCUUCUGACAAGAAUCUAACUACAGAUCAAUAGUUAUAACAGAUCAAUUACUUGUGAAUAAUCAACGUUUUUAUGGUUAGUAUCAGUUAUGAAAUCUUUGAUCCUUAGAAUCCUCCGGCCAUCUCCGUAUUCCAGAUGACACGAUACAAUUAUAAUCAUUGAGAAUAAUGUUUUCAAACACUUCAUAGUAAAAGAAAAUAUGGGACAAUUGUAUGUAUAUGUUUAAAUAAAAUGAGAAAAUGAUAAAAGAAAAUCAAUGGGAAAGAAAAGGUAUUGUAUCACCAUUUGAAUAUUGUCUUGAAGAUANNNNNNNNNNNNNNNNNNNNNNNNNNNNNNNNNNNNNNNNNNNNNNNNNNNNNNNNNNNNNNNNNNNNNNNNNNNNNNNNNNNNNNNNNNNNNNNNNNNNNNNNNNNNNNNNNNNNNNNNNNNNNNNNNNNNNNNNNNNNNNNNNNNNNNNNNNNNNNNNNNNNNNNNNNNNNNNNNNNNNNNNNNNNNNNNNNNNNNNNNNNNNNNNNNNNNNNNNNNNNNNNNNNNNNNNNNNNNNNNNNNNNNNNNNNNNNNNNNNNNNNNNNNNNNNNNNNNNNNNNNNNNNNNNNNNNNNNNNNNNNNNNNNNNNNNNNNNNNNNNNNNNNNNNNNNNNNNNNNNNNNNNNNNNNNNNNNNNNNNNNNNNNNNNNNNNNNNNNNNNNNNNNNNNNNNNNNNNNNNNNNNNNNNNNNNNNNNNNNNNNNNNNNNNNNNNNNNNNNNNNNNNNNNNNNNNNNNNNNNNNNNNNNNNNNNNNNNNNNNNNNNNNNNNNNNNNNNNNNNNNNNNNNNNNNNNNNNNNNNNNNNNNNNNNNNNNNNNNNNNNNNNNNNNNNNNNNNNNNNNNNNNNNNNNNNNNNNNNNNNNNNNNNNNNNNNNNNNNNNNNNNNNNNNNNNNNNNNNNNNNNNNNNNNNNNNNNNNNNNNNNNNNNNNNNNNNNNNNNNNNNNNNNNNNNNNNNNNNNNNNNNNNNNNNNNNNNNNNNNNNNNNNNNNNNNNNNNNNNNNNNNNNNNNNNNNNNNNNNNNNNNNNNNNNNNNNNNNNNNNNNNNNNNNNNNNNNNNNNNNNNNNNNNNNNNNNNNNNNNNNNNNNNNNNNNNNNNNNNNNNNNNNNNNNNNNNNNNNNNNNNNNNNNNNNNNNNNNNNNNNNNNNNNNNNNNNNNNNNNNNNNNNNNNNNNNNNNNNNNNNNNNNNNNNNNNNNNNNNNNNNNNNNNNNNNNNNNNNNNNNNNNNNNNNNNNNNNNNNNNNNNNNNNNNNNNNNNNNNNNNNNNNNNNNNNNNNNNNNNNNNNNNNNNNNNNNNNNNNNNNNNNNNNNNNNNNNNNNNNNNNNNNNNNNNNNNNNNNNNNNNNNNNNNNNNNNNNNNNNNNNNNNNNNNNNNNNNNNNNNNNNNNNNNNNNNNNNNNNNNNNNNNNNNNNNNNNNNNNNNNNNNNNNNNNNNNNNNNNNNNNNNNNNNNNNNNNNNNNNNNNNNNNNNNNNNNNNNNNNNNNNNNNNNNNNNNNNNNNNNNNNNNNNNNNNNNNNNNNNNNNNNNNNNNNNNNNNNNNNNNNNNNNNNNNNNNNNNNNNNNNNNNNNNNNNNNNNNNNNNNNNNNNNNNNNNNNNNNNNNNNNNNNNNNNNNNNNNNNNNNNNNNNNNNNNNNNNNNNNNNNNNNNNNNNNNNNNNNNNNNNNNNNNNNNNNNNNNNNNNNNNNNNNNNNNNNNNNNNNNNNNNNNNNNNNNNNNNNNNNNNNNNNNNNNNNNNNNNNNNNNNNNNNNNNNNNNNNNNNNNNNNNNNNNNNNNNNNNNNNNNNNNNNNNNNNNNNNNNNNNNNNNNNNNNNNNNNNNNNNNNNNNNNNNNNNNNNNNNNNNNNNNNNNNNNNNNNNNNNNNNNNNNNNNNNNNNNNNNNNNNNNNNNNNNNNNNNNNNNNNNNNNNNNNNNNNNNNNNNNNNNNNNNNNNNNNNNNNNNNNNNNNNNNNNNNNNNNNNNNNNNNNNNNNNNNNNNNNNNNNNNNNNNNNNNNNNNNNNNNNNNNNNNNNNNNNNNNNNNNNNNNNNNNNNNNNNNNNNNNNNNNNNNNNNNNNNNNNNNNNNNNNNNNNNNNNNNNNNNNNNNNNNNNNNNNNNNNNNNNNNNNNNNAGGCACAGUCGUCCCUUAAUCACAGACCACGAAAACGCAAUCAGCAACCAAUCCUUCACCACACCAGCCACAUUCAUAGUCAACGCCGACGUUUUCCCAACCAACAGAAACACAGCAAGAUUCAACGCGAAGGCACACACAGAGUUCGUCCCAAACACAACGAAAUCGAAAUGAAAGCUCGACGUCUCCCUAAGAACCGGCAACUCAACGAAGAUCCAAGGGAAAAACAAAAACCCCAAACAGCAAGGCGCCACGUAAUACAAAGAUGUAAUCGGAUUGAGAUUGAUUCCUUUAGAGGUAAGCAAGAUCUGAAUCAACACAAGCCUCGUCGCCUCGAAGGCCACCGCCCCGAGCUGAAGCAUCACUCCCCAGGUAUCGAACUUCGCCUCUCCGUAGGCAGCGAUCGCUACUCCGAACGAGAUCGAGAGCAUGUUCGUCAUCGUCUCAGAUCUGAACGACUCCUUCUUCAGCAAGACGCCGAUCGAGUAAACGGCGACAGGCAUGAGGGCUUUGAGCAUCUGGAUGAAGGAGACGGAGAGGUAGAUGUAGGCGGAGUUCGAUAGCCAGAGGGAGAGCGAGUACAAGGCCCCGAUCGGGACGACGGAUCUGAGGUAAGUCUCGCGGGACAUUGACACCGGCUCGACGACCUUGAAGACCUUGAUGAGGAGGACGGCGAGGGAGGAGCAGAAGGCCAUGUGGAUCAUGGUGAGAGUGAUGGGGAAAGGCCAGUUGUACAUCUUCUUGUCGAGGAUGUACUUGUUGUAGACGAUGACGGUGAAGCUGAGGAAGAUCCAGAUCGCGACGUAGGUGUAGGAGAGGAUGAUCUUCUUGAUGACUCCAUCGCUUAGGGCGCCGCCUUUUCCCAUUGUGGCUGGUGGUGGCUUUCGACGGAGGAUGAGGGAGGAGGAGGAGGAGGAGGUGCGUAGGAUAGCGUCGAGGGUGCAGGAUAAAAGGGGGAGUGGAGAGGAGACUUUUUGGUGUGGUGUUAAUGUAGAGAGAGAGAGAGGGUUGGCAUGACUGGGCUACGCUACGUGGCUUUAAUGUUACUUUUUUUUUAAUUGACUAAUGGGCUUAGAUCUGGGGCCCAUUAAAAAUUCUCCCUCGCUAUUAUUUUUGAUUUUUUUAAAUGUAUAAUAGUGUUUGUUAUUCACUUUUACCAAAUUUAAUUAAUUUUUAAUUUAUGUUUAGAUUACAUCCUUAAAUAUGUUUGCUUAUUUAAAAAUUAUUUUAUUAAUUUCAAUGUUUUAUUUUAAUUACAUACUAUAACAUUUUAUGUGGAUGUGAUGUGGGAUAUUUUUAGUAUGACUAAAGUUACAGUUAUUGAUAGGCAAUGUUCUUGUACCUGUAAAAAUGUAUUUAAAUGAUUCAUACUAGUCAAUAUUUCCUUCAAAUUUCCAUUUUACGACACCUUAGUAUACUGUUUAUCAAUAAGACUAUUACUAUGUUAUUUUUCUGAAUUUGAUCGGGAUCCAUUGUCUACUUCAACAUUUACCUUUAUCAACAUUUACAUUAAAUAUUGUAUUAUUCACAUUGAUGUUUCUAGUCUUGCCUAACAUUAACUACUGGUCUUCAGACUGUUAGGUUAUGUUUUUUUUUUUUUUUUUUUGAAUUGAAACUGUUAGGUUAUGUUGAUUGACAAAACAUAAAUUAUUGAUAAAAGAAUUGGAGGGUGGCAACUUUUUUUUUUUUUUUGUCACAGGGAGGGUGGCAACUUAAUUUUUAAAAGUAUGGCGUUGUUAAGAAGAGCUGAUGAUGACAGUUGGUUCUAACCUAAAGUCUUUAUUAUUCUUUGUCUUUGAGCUGAUAAGAGAUACUCAUGAUAAUUAAUGCUAUGACUAAGGGUUCAUCAGUUACAGGUUUCAAUUCCCGGAGAAACUGAUUUAUUAAACAAUUAUGCAGGCUACAGAAGAAAAGUUUACAAGGGAUUUUCAACAUGGUGCAAGUAAACUCGGUCAGGCGUGAUCUUCAUAGGACGGCUAAGGUGAUUCAGUUAGGCGUAGAUCUUUAUGGCAUGUAGUAUUGUCGGUUGUCGGAUCGUCUCUGUAAUCUUUCUCAUAAUUGUAAUAUCAUAAUAAAUCAGCGUUAAAAAAAAAAUACUCAUGAUAAUUCAUAAACUUAAGCCAAUCCCAUAUACAAUAUAAUUUUAUUAAAUAUAUUAUAUGUAACCUGCUAUUAAAAAAUAACUAGCCUUCUAUUUUAAAUAUUCUAUCCAAAUAACUAAUUGCUUUUAGUUAAAAAAAUAUCCUUUGUAUAUGUUUUUUUUUUUGAUGACCGUGGGGUUCCCAGGCGGUAAGCCCAGACUAAUCUCCACGAGGCCUUCCAUCCGGGUACGCACGGUUAUAGGCGGGAAGGUGGCCAAGGCGACUCGAACCCAGGGCGGGCACUGCAGCCGGAGUUCCAAUACCACUAGGCCAAGAGCUUUUGGUUUCCUUUGUAUAUGUUGCUAAAUAAUUUUUGGAAGAGAAGGAAACAACGGCAAAAGUUGAGGAUAUAAACCACAGUUUAUAUGGAUGUUAACGAAUGAAGCUUUCACAUCUGCAAAUUUACAAUAUGCAGAGAGUUUCUUCCCCGGCUUUGCAGAUGUGAGUUUGAUAUGUUCCAUCACGAUGUUAUGACACCCUUGAUUUUCAUCACAGUCUAGCUUUAUUGCAAUUUUACUUGCUGAAGUCCCUUCAAUAUAUCUGAAUGUUACGUCGCUUACUUUCACCGCAUUCCCCUGCAAUAUUCAUAAAACAUAUGUGCAUUCAAUAAAAAAUAUGAAUUGAACGUAAAACUCAUACCUAGAGGAAAACUAUUGUACGAUUUGCACAUUUAUCUUUUAGCAAAAAAAAAAUGUUUUGCACACUUAUGUCGUGAUCGUAAGAUACCAAAGGUGAAGCAUAUUGUAAUUUAGUCAUAUGGUUUUAUUACCAAUUGGUUAGUACAGUAACAAUAUUUCAUCGAAUUUGAUUUAUCAUCUAUUUAAGAUGUCUAGUUUGCAAGACUAGAUGUAAAAAAAAAACUUAGCUUAUAGUAUAUAGGUUUAUAUGUGAUUUGUAUACAGAAUUCUAGUAAAAAUUAAUAUAGUUUGAAUAUUACCUUGACAUGACCAGUGCCACCAUUAGAGUAAUGUUGAUCGAUGAUUAUGGGGUAUUUAGUAUUUGUUACCGUAAUAUUUUCAAAUAAUAUAUUCUUGGCUAACCCUUUUCCUCCCUAAAAUAUGCAAGGUUCAAUAUUAUAUAUAUUCUUCAGAAGAAUAUAAUAUUUUGGUUGAAUUUUUGAUGACCGUGGGGUUCCCAGGCGGUAAGCCCAGACUAAUCUCCACGAGGCCUUCCAUCCGGGUAUUCUUGCCCCAUUUUGAGUUCCCCAAAAGCUGCAGCUUCUUACGAUCACGUUCUCAACAGUGUCAUCUAUAUCACCUUUGCCCAAACUUCCAAUGCUGCGUUUUAUUUUGAAUUUUUAAGACAUAAUAAACAAGUUAAUGUUUUUUUUUUGAACAAAAUAAACAAGAUACGGAUAAACAAGUUAAUGUUUAAAAUAAUUUUCAUGAAACAAGUAAAAUACGGAUGAAUUUGAAUCUCUUUGUGCUGUUAUAUCUAGAAACCUGAUACCAUGACCUGGACCACAUGCCACACGAGUAAUGUUGAUGUCGGAAGAACCACCACGCUCACCAGUAAUUGCAAUACAAUCAUCACCUAAUAUGUAGGAAAUAUAACAACACAUAAAGAAGCCGUUUAUCAUACAUUUUCUCAAAUUCAGUCCAUGUAAUGUAAACAAAACUUGUUUUCAAAUUUAAAUAAAAAGAAGAAUUAAAGAGUACCAGUUUGGAUAGACGAGUCUAAGAUACGAAUAUUGUGUGAAAGAGAAAUACCAAUGCCAUCAGUGUUUGGACUCUUCUCGGGUGCUAGCAAAGUAAGAUUUGAUAAAGUUGCAUUGGUGCAACCAUAGACUGAAAUGUGAUUCUUUGGACUAUUGUAUUGAGUUAGCCCAUUAUAUAUUAUGUCGGUGCAUUGCUUAAAGCUAAGUGUCUGCACAUGCAACACAACAGAAUAAUGUAUAUUACUGUAAAAUUUACUACAUUGUUAUAUAUAAAGAGUGAAAAGGAUUAUGGUGGAAAGUGACCUACUCUGGGUCGUUUAGAGUGACGAACAGAUCGCCACCAAGUUUCUCCAUGGGGGUCAAGGACACCUGAGCCGUUGAUGAAGAGACUUUCCACGUUCUUGAACAUUAACCAACUCUCAGUUCGUUUGUUUCCCCACUGUUUUGGUCUCUUCGGCGCUUCUAUUUUCCCAUCGAUCUUACCCCAGAAAAAUAAAUUAUACAUGUAUGUGAAUAUGUGAAUCAUGUAAUACAUGUGUAUAUGUGUGAAUGGAUAACAAUUUUUGCAUGUGGUAUGUGGAUAUCUUCAUAUAAAUCAGUUGGAUUUAUAACGUGUUCAGAGUACCUGAAUAUGAAUGUAAGAAGAUACGCAUGGACCUUCAAACAGUUGUGGUUGUAUAGUGUAUUUUUCAUUCUCAUUUAUCACUAGCGAUGACCCGCCAGUCCCUUCACCUUCACCUUCGCAUAACCCUUUCCAUGCUUUUUGAAAUACCUUUUUUAAAAUGAUAAAUUUAACAUAUUACGUUUGUUCUUCUGACAAGAAUCUAACUACAGAUCAAUAGUUAUAACAGAUCAAUUACUUGUGAAUAAUCAACGUUUUUAUGGUUAGUAUCAGUUAUGAAAUCUUUGAUCCUUAGAAUCCUCCGGCCAUCUCCGUAUUCCAGAUGACACGAUACAAUUAUAAUCAUUGAGAAUAAUGUUUUCAAACACUUCAUAGUAAAAGAAAAUGGGACAAUUGUAUGUAUGUUUAAAUAAAAUGAGAAAAUGAUAAAAGAAAAUCAAUGGGAAAGAAAAGGUAUUGUAUCACCAUUUGAAUAUUGUCUUGAAGAUAUAUUAUAUAACAUGUUUUUUUUUAAUGUUUUUGCGUGGUAUAGGUUAAUACAAUAGAUUUUUUUUUUACUAAAAUUAACAAAGAUUUGGAAAAUUUUGUAACUUGGAAUUACAGUGUAUUAUGUUGAUAGUAUAUGUGUAUAUUUAUAUGUUAACUUGAGACUCAAACAGUCUUAUGAUAUUUUUGAUUACUUGUCAAAAUGUCAAGAUUAAAAACAAUUAGAACUAUUCUGAGAUACAUGCCACGUUCACAGUACAAUCUGAUAUCAUUUAAGAGGCUAACACAACAAAAGAUUAUAUACAAAUUUUAAGAAAACUAGAUUACUAUACACGAACAAGUCUACUCCGAACUUUAUAAAAAAAAACAAGAGUUAGUUCGGGAUCUUAAAAUUUUAGAAAACUGAUUGUAUUCAGAAAUUAGAACAUUAUCUGAAAAGCCUUAAUUUCUAUAUAACGAUGUGUAGAUUGUUAACUAAUAUAGUUUGCUUCAACAACUCUACUAUUAUUAACUAUAGAUUUUUAAAUAAUGAAGAUGAUAAAUAUUAAGAUAAAAAAUCUCUUUACAUAUUAAUCUUUGGUUUUUAGUUUAUAAAGUCGUUUUAGAUUAAUUGAACCUAUAUUUCUAAGUUAUGAUUAAAUAGUGAUGGAAACACAUAACUCAAUAAUAAUUAGUGUUGUAACCUAACCGCUUUCCAUUCUUCUAAACAGAAACACAUCCUUUCAAUUUUGUUUAUAAACUGUUAAAUGAAACCCAACAUAGCAAACAAAUGAUCAAUAACUCUUUGGGGUCAAUAACAAUGUGUCAGACCAACAAUGGGAAAGUAAUAGUAAGAAGUGAGUAAUGGCCCAUUACUAAUGGGUAAUAGAAUAUGUGAUCUCCAAACAGACACUAUGUUUCUCUAAGCUCAUAAACUGCUCAAAACAUUUACCUUCCUUUUAGCUCUGCAAAUCUGGCAGCCAAAUCCUCAUAGUCAGGUAACUUGGGGUGAACGUGCUUAGCUUCACUACGUUCUGGCUGAAACGAGGCGGCACGAGCAAACGUCUUUGCGGGUUCAGAUGGUCCGGCAAAUUGUUCACUGGGGAGACUGAGUGACCGAGCGGGAUGAUGAAUCUCUUCACCUUCUGCUUUUCUAUGAUGUGAACGUCUGCUUUUAGAUUCUUCAUAACUUGAAGGCUUUUUACUGUAAUGCAUCAGAAGUUUAUCCAUCAUCUUUUCCUCACUGUCCUUCUCAUCUUCAUCUACUAAGACUUGAAGGCCUUUCCUUGAGUGUUCCCUUCUUCUGCUGCUUCUUGUAUCAUCUCCAUCACCCGUUUGUACAAUGUGUUUUCUUCUACUAGAUCGCCGCUUCAGAGAUUGAUCAUCUCUGUCAUUCACUUGAUGCUGACCUGCUUCAGAAACCUUUUUAUCAGUGUCUGGACACUUUCCUUCUUCACCAUCAAACCGAGCCUUUGGAUAAGCUGAAGCUUCAGGUUUUUCAAUCUUUGCUUUACCAUUCGGUUUAACAUACGGAGGUGGGGGAAGGGACUUCAUCAUUCUCUCUGUUUCUCGCUCCUCAAACUUCCUUGCUGGAUCAUAUCCAUCUCCACCACCCUUGAUGUUACCAGCAGGUGAAUUUUUUUCUGUGCCCUCUCGCACAGGAACUGUGUUUUCUCUCCUCUCGUGAUCGCUGCGAUGUCUACGGACUGAAUCUAUAGAUGGUGUUCUUUUCGACCUUGGCUUUGGAGGCAUUGAGAGGUUAUCUUCUACUUUCUGAGGCGCAUGCUCUUCACCAUCCUCAUGUUUGUAGCCUUUGAAGAAACUUUCUUGCUUAAAGCCAAGAACUAACUUAUCUUCUGUUUUGGUGCUGCUACGCUUGUGUUUCUCUGUCACCUCUGUUUUCUUAGGCGCUGCAGCAGCUUCACCAUUUUGAUGUCCAACCCCUUGAACGAGAUUCUCACGUUUGAUCUUCAUCACUAUAGUGUCACCUUCGUUAAAAAUAGGUUGAGGUCUUCCUCUGGAAGAUUUGUGCUUAGGUUGCAAAUGGAACUCUUUUCUCUCUGCCCUGUCAUCCUUGAUAUCCGAUCUGGAGGCGUGACGAACAUCAUCUGACUUAUCUUUAGAUGCUAGCCCACGCUGAUGUUCUCUGAGACCAUUCUGAUAAUUAUCCGGUCGAAAGAAAGGAUCCCUUCUCUCUGAUGCAACAUCCUUUUUCCUUUCUGAUGGCAAGGCCACGCUUCCGUCUAAAGACUUGUGCUUCUCGUGAGUGGUAUCCUGUUCAUGACCAUGAGAAAAAUCAUAAAUCAGUCACGUUCCAAAUAUUUCAGGUUAUUGCCCCUUAAACCAAAUGAGUCAUUCGUCAUACCUUUACUGAACUACCAUUUUGCCUCAAGAUCCUCUUCUCAAAAGCUUUAGAAUCCCAACGAAUAGCAUACUCCGAUGCAACAUCUUCCAUCAACUUCACUUUCUUCUCCAAAGAAAAUGGCUUUGAUGUCAUAUUCUCAACAAGCUAUAAGAAAAAAACAAGUACGUGCUUAACCAUACAUGCUCAAUAAGAUUUCCAGAUGAGUUUAACUGAUAAAAAUAAAUACGUGAGAAAAAAAACUCUUACCUCUUGAUUGACAAACACACUAAGUGAAUCUGCGUACUUCUCGUGAAACAUCUGCCUCAGCUCACGCAGCUCAGGCAAUUCAGAAAAUCCAGCGGCUGCAAACAUUAACGACGACACAGCUUCACGACAAUCUUCUGGACAUUCCCUGGAAAAGCAAGCGCAAAUCAACUAAUCAAAACAAAACCAUGUUUCCACCAAGAACAAAGUACUUUUAAGUCUUUAACUAUCUUUGAGAAUGCUUAACUAAGCCACACAAAAAAUUACAUAUCACUAAAGAAACAUGAACAACGUGAGUAGGAAAACGCCAAAAAGAUGAGGUAAUGACUUUCGUUAUAUAUAAUCAAUAUUUAUAAACAAAAGUCCAAACAACCUGAUCUUGAUUCUUCAAUAUAAAACCUAACAAGUUGAUAUGCCAGAGAAUCUACAAGUAAAUUUCUCAUCUACUCAUAAGUAUGUUACAGCUAACUCAAGAAUCAUAAAAUAUUCUCAAAGCAAAAGCCAUUAACAGUCUUACUCCAUCUUCUGCAUCGUAGAGAGUUGCUUAUACACGAAAUCACAAGUGCUCUCGACGAAAUCAAGAUUCCAGAGAUGCCUUAGUUCAUCAAGAAGCCCUCCCGCCUGCAUAUCUCAAACGAUUAUCAUCAAAAAACCAAAUCUGAAUCCCUAAAUCAAUCCUUGUAACGAACGAUAACGUUACCCUGGUAUAAGCAUUGACGUCACGGCCAUUAGAGAUAAGAUCGGCAAAAUCUCCCUUGAGAAACUUGAUCGUGGCGGUCCUCUUCCUCCGAAGAACAUCGAUCCGAUUCUUCGUCAGUUUUAUCAGUGGCUUCCUGCCGAAUCAAAUCGCACGAUCGAAUCGAUUUCGCACAUUAAAAGAUUAAAGAGUUAAUCAGAGAGAAGAGAAGAGAAACAAAACCCCUUGGGAGCGAAUCCGCGGCCUAAGAUACCGUCAAACAUCGUAAGAUCGCUUCGCAACAACGACGGUUAAGAUUCCGAUUGUGAUCCGCCGGGAAACGGAAGCUCGAGUGAUAGAGAGAGAGAGAAUGGCGUUUUUCUUCAGCUGUGGGUUUUUAAAAUUGAAGGCAACCGCAUCUCAAGCUGAGUGGAGAACAUGAAGGUGGUGGUGAGAGACCUUAGUCCUUUAUUGAUACGACUACGUUUUGACCUUUUGGUGUUGUUAACGUUAUAAAGGGUAUUUUGGGGAAUUUAUUAUUUCUUUUUCCUUUUUAGGUGGUGAGUGAGUGAGGGAUCAAAUCGAUAACUUCUGCUAGCUGUUGUUGUUCUUCUAGUGGAAUUGGGUGGGAUGAUCUGGUACAAAUGGGUCCAAUCUCAUUGCAUGGAGUCUGUAGACCUGCACCAAUAAAUGAAUUUAAUUCACCGACGGCUUUAUUUUAAAGCUUUUUCUUUAACCGAUUUUCUCUCUUUUGUCAGAAAUGUUUUUUUUGGUCUAAUUUUGUCGGGAAAUGUUUGUAAAAUAUUUUACAUUUGUUUCGUUUUUCUUUUGUCAACACAUUUGUUUUCGAUUCAUUUUUGUAAACUGGAUUUGAUAUUACGGUUUAUGCAUUAGUAAAUGUUUUCAACUUGUUAUAUGUAUUAACAAACAAAUUAAUAUGUUGACUAAUAUGUGGACAUCAAAAAACAUCAUUGCUAAUUGUCCUAAUCCAUCGUCUGUUAUUUAAUUCCUCAUCGAUUAUUUAAAGAGAGAAUAACUCUUGUGUCCAUGUUCUUGAUUUGAUUAAGGCCGUGGAAACCGGCUAAAGAUGCGAAGGAUUUCGCCUUUAAGCCUAUCUGUUUAGGCAGAAUCAAAUUCCCUUAAUCCACUUACUUACGUGCUUCCGUGUCCAAUCAAAUUUAGAGCUGUAAAAUGGUUGGGCUGUCCAAUGGAUGUCCAUGUUCAAAUAUAUUUGGGUUUCCAUUAGUUAUACCAAUAUUUCUAGAUGAGUUUUAAAUGGUCAAAACUGGGAAACCAAUUAAUCUAUGGUUGUUUGUGGAUUUGGUUAAUACGGACAUGGGCGGCCCAAUUAAAAAAAAAUUUAGGGUUUCCAAAAUUUGGAGAAAAAUUGGAAAAUUUCAUUUCAUAGUGAAAGAGAGUUUAUGCGACUUCUUUGGCGAUUUUGGUGAUUGAAACUUGGUUCCAUCGGAGAAAUUGAGUUUUUCCGCCAAAACCGCAAAAUCAAGUUUUCCCACCAAAACCGCAAAAUCGAGUUUUCCUGCCAAAACCGCAAAAUCGAGUUUCCUGCAAAAUCGAGUUUUUCCGCUAAAACCGCAAAAUCGAGUUUUCUGAAAAAUCGAGUUUUUCUGCCAAAACCAGAAAAUCGAUUUUCCCCGUCAAAACCGCAAAAUCGAGUUUUCCCGCCGAAACCGGAAAAUCGAGUUUUCCCGCCAAAACCGGAAAAUCGAGUUUUCCCGCCGAAACCGCAAAAUCGAGUUUUCCCGCCGAAACCGCAAAAUCGAGUUUUCCCACCGAAACCGCAAAAUUGAGUCUUCCCGCUGAAACCGCAAAAUCGAGUUUUCCACCAAAACCAGAAAAUCGAGUUUUUCCGCCAAAACCGGAAAAUCGUGUUCUACCAAAACCAAAAAAUCGAGUUUUCUUGCCAAACCCGAAAAAUUGAGUUUUCCCGCCAAAACCGUAAAAUCGAGUUUUCCCGUCAAAACCGUAAAAUCGAGUUUUCCCGCCAAAACCGAAAAAUCGAGUUUUCCUUGCAAGAUUGGAAAAUCGAGUUUGUCCGUCAAAACCUCAAAAUCGAGUUUUCUGCCAAAACUGUAAAAUUUGUAGGCUUAUAGAUAAAAAAUAUAAAAAUUUCUUAUAUUGUCCAUUAUGGAUUUCAUGGCAGCCCAUGUAAACAUGGGUGUUAGCGGGUCUGGUCUUUAAUGGACAUGGUUCCUAAUGGAUAUGGUGAUUCUUUGUCCACAAACAAUAAAUGGAUAUGUGCUAAUGUACGGCUCUAAUCAAAUUACAUUAAAAUACUUUCUGACAAGAAUAAUGAUCCUUUUUAGACAGGAAUAAUGAUUCUUAAAAAAAAAGGAAUAAUGAUUCUUUUUUAGACAAGAAUAAUCAAAUUUAAACCAAAUUCCACAAUUCAAUCUAAAUUUGAGUUGAUUUGUUUUUUAAUGAGGUUUUAUAUGAUUUUGAGGAAUUACAGAGAAUAAAAUAAUUUUUGUUAAACCACUCUAGAAUAUCAUAUAAAACCAUGAGAUUUGAGUUUUAAUUUUUUUUAACCAAGAAACUCCACCCAAACACUCUAAAAUCACUUUAAAACUUUAAAACUCCACGACUUAAAAUACUUUGCAAUAACAAUGGAUUUCAGAGUACCUUAUAAAAUGUCAAGUUCAAUAACACUGGAUUUUAAAUGAGUUUUUAAAAUUCAUGUUUCAAUAACAGUAAAUUUGUCAUUUUGACACAAAUCACCUAAAACUUUCAAUUCAAUACAUCCCCCUUAGUCUCACUCUAUAUACUUCUAAUUAACAAAGUAGUAGAAUUUAGCCAAUUAUUCUCCCCCUCUCGUAAAUAUUACUUUUAAAAAAUAUACUAUUAAAAUAUAAAUUUAAAAUGAGUUAACUAACUAUAAAUAAUACGGUAAAAUAUUAUUGAUCAACCAAUUUUCAAUAAAAUUAAAAUAAUAUUAAAAGUAGAAAAAUUACAUCGAACAUAUUUUAAAACAUCUUAUAUAAUGGAACAAAAAGAAUGUUUCUUUUUUGGUUUGAUGAAAAACUGCUUUAAAAUAUUUAUAUUUUUUCUAAUAUUUUCAGUUCAUUUUGGUUUGUUAUAAAACGAUCUCAAAUAUAUUCAUCUAUUUUAACUUUAAAAUAAAGUAAUUCUAAAAUAGGUUAACUCUAAAGUAAUGAUAUAUUUUUAUUUUUUAUUUUGAAAAGGAAUAAUUUUAAAAUAUUCUUUCUAUUUUACAACUAGUUCCUUUUGUUAAAUUAAUUUAAUUACUUUUAACUUUUAUAAGAUUUUUAUAAAAUUAUAACUUUGUUUAAACUAAAAUUAAAAAGAUUAUUAUGUAAAUAAAAAAUGUGAUUCUAUUUUUAUAAAAAGUAUAUUUCUCUAAAAAGUAUUUUUUAGUUAUAAAUAAAAUUUAAAAGUUAAAUGACUUUUUGAAAAUAAAAAAGUAUGAUUUUAAAGUUAAAAAUGCUAUUUUAACUCUAUAAUUAGAAAAAGAAAUAGCAAUAUGUUAUACUAAGAAAAAAAUAGAGAUGAGUUGGAACAUAUUCUUCUCUAUUAUAAUAUUUAAAAUUGAAAAUAUCAAUGAGUUGAAAAUGCUCUGAUAUAUAUAUAUAUNNNNNNNNNNNNNNNNNNNNNNNNNNNUAUAUAUAUAUAUAUAUAAUUUUGGACUCUACUGGAAGUUAUAAUGGCUAAAAUUUGUUUAUAAAUUCAAGGAUGUGAAUAUGAAUAUUUAGAACUUUGGGAUCAAUUUGAAAGGAAUAACAAAUAGCGGGGAUGAUAAGAACAUAUACUCCAUGAUAUUUUCAGUCUCAUAAAUAUCUUUCAUCUCCUCUCACACACACUCCACUAAAAAAGAAGAUUACCAAAAAUGAUCCUGAGAAGCGCGUCGUCACUGGACCUUAACAUACGCGCUGCCCAAAAAUCCCCAGCUCCACGGUGUGCAAACGGAGCUCGCGUGGCAACGACGGCUCGUCCCGUCUCCGCUUCUCGCCGAGGAUGUAAGUCGAUGCCCAGAGCUUCUUCAGAUGGAAACCUCCACGAGAAGAGAGCGAUACAGAGCAGAGCCAAAACGCCCAGCGUCAACCACGACGACGCGUCGUCUUCCAGGGUCUUGGAGAGAUCAAGGCUCCACCAAGGAGGUUCUAACGGUGGAUUUGGCGGUAGAGGUGGAGACGGUGGAGACGGUGGUGCCGGAGGUCACGGCGGAGGGGGAGGUGGAGGUGGGAGCGUUGAUGGUUACUACGAAGAGAUGAUACAGCGUUAUCCUGGAGAUGCUCUUCUUCUCGCUAACUACGCUCGUUUCCUCAAAGAGGUAUACAUACACAUACACUUACAGGGACAAGAUAAAGACAAAACUAAACUACAUAGUGUAAUGAGUUUAAUUAACACUUGGACUUUGGUCUAUAUUAUUUUUCGUCGAUCUUUGUGCAAAAUUUUGGGGUUUUAAGAGUCUUAACAUUUUUACAAAAUAAAAAAUAAAAAAAUUGUGUAUUAAUAUUGUGCAGGUGAAGGGUGAUGAGAGAAAAGCAGAGGAGUACUGUGAGAGAGCGAUGUUGUCUGAGGAUGGGAGAGAUGGUGAGAUGCUGUCUAUGUAUGGAGAUUUAAUAUGGAUAAAUCAUGGAGACGGUGCUCGUGCUCAGUCUUACUUUGAUCAAGCUGUUCAAUCUUCUCCUGAUGACUGGUGAGUAGAAACAUAACUAUAUUUGUUACAGUUCAGUAUCUGCUUAGAACCCUGAUGAUUUACAUGUAAGGAAAGUCUCUAACUUUGGAUUUGGGUUUUCCUUAAGGUAUAUCCAAGACGCAAACCUCACAAGUUUUUAAUCCAUUUUUGGUAGAUUGCUGAGUAUUUGUUAGAACCAGUUUUAUUGAUUGUUUCAGAGGAAUGGUUUUGUUGAAAGGGAAUAGUAAGAUAACAUUUCACGUAAAUGAUUUUGUGGAUCAAAUGUGAUUCGCUCUAUAUCCAACAUUUGAAGAAGUUGAUUGGUCACGUUAUUGAAAAUGACAGACAUCUCAUUCUCGAUUUUUCCUAUCUGCAUCUCUGCAUCUUCAAUGUUUAUGUGGUGUGGCAGUAGUUGAUACAUUACAUCAUCAUCAUAAAUAUAGAUCUAAUACAUUUGAUUAAUUGUUUUAUGGCAGUCAUGUUCUUGCCUCAUAUGCUCGGUUUUUAUGGGAUACUGAAGAAGAAGGAGAAGAAGAGGAAGAGGAGGAAGAAAGUAAAUAUGAGAAUGGUUUCUCUACCUAUAACCCAUCUGUGUCAGUCAUGUCCUGACCCUUGGUACUGAUCUUAAAUAACAAUUUGAAAUCCGGUUUAAUCAUAAAAUAUCUUGUGCCAUUGAGAUAGAUUGAUGCUUAUGUGUUGGAAAAGACGAACCAAGUAUCAAAACUCCAAAGACGCAUUAUAGUGUGAUAUUUCAAAGAAGAUAAAAGUGGUUUGUGUCCAUAGGCUUAGAGCUAAAAAGGUGUGAAUUGGGAUUGGUCAUGGGCUCUGGAUAGAAUCAAUUAUUGGUUGUCAAAAAUAAAAUCAAUUAUUGAUCAAUGGUUGCUAGAGACGUCUUUGUGUCGAUGCAUGCAUGAAAUGAACUUUUAUCGUUGCAAUUUGCAAUAAGGAAAUGAACCUUUUUGUGUUUAUAUCAAGAAAUUAUUUUUUCUUUAUGCAAGAAUGUUUACUAAAAUUUUCUUUCUACACCUUCACGCAUGUUGUUAGACUGUCAAAAUCUAUACUCCAUGUUUACUAUGUUAAAGAUGAUCCAACUAUAACAAAGAUAAAGAAUACACUGAGCAUACGAAGAAAAUCUCCUGAAUAUUCACUUUUAGAAAUCAAAACAUCAAAAAGAAAAAGAUCUUGACAUCAAAAUACAACAUAAAAUUUAAGCAAAAAAAAAAAAAAACAUAAAAGAUUAAAAACAUUACACCAUCAAACAUAGAAACAUAUAAAAAAGCAACACCCUUUAGAACCAAACACAAUGAUUCUUUUCACUCUUUUACCCAUUUCUUCUCAAACAAGUUUUGGUCGAAGAUAUAUAUAACUAUUACAUGCUUUCUUUUCCUCUUGUCCUCCUUAAUUAAUGCAGAGCUCUUUAUGCUCAACAGCAACCGCUUCAGAUAUCUCAAUGGUCUCGGCUCUGUCUUCAUCCACCCUUGGAGAUACAACCUUAUCCGCCGAGUCUUCUUCUCCAUCAGCUUUGGGUGACGCAGUCACUUGUGUUACCUCUUCUAUGGGAGUUGAUGACUGGUUUUGGGUUUCUGCUUCUUUUUCAAGUUUCUUUCUUUCAGGUUUCACCUUUGCUGAGGUUGUGGCAACGGGGAGAGCUGUUUUCUGAGAUGGCAAUCUUGGAAGUGACUUGCGCAAUGGUUGCUUCUUGGGAUCAACUGUUGCCACAGUUCCCUUAGCAGCUGGGUGAUCUCUAGAGGUUUUCUCAUCUAGGCUCAACCUACCGAUGCGAGGGGUUUGAGUUUCUUCAGAAUCAGUCUUCUUUCUCCCGAGUUUCGGAGAUUUGGGCCUUGUUGGUGGUAUCUACAAUAACAAUGAGAAUUAGUAUUUGAUUAAAAAAGUGAGAGAUUAUGGUUUGAGAAGAGAGGAGAAGUAGAUACCUUCUUUAACUCUGUUUUAGGGGGCUGAGAAAAGCUAGGCAUGGGUGUGGCUUUGAAGUUCAAGCUCUUCCUCAGCUUCCUAAGCUCAGCUUCUUCUGUUUCCUGUGAGCGAGCCACGAGUUUUUUGUUUUAACAAGAAGUAGGUCGAGAAUAUACUAUGACAAAGAAGAGGGUUUAGAAGACAAACCUUGGACUUGGCUUGCAUGUUGUUAAUCUCCUCUUCUUUCGCAUGAGUUUUUUCCUCAAGCUUAACAUAGAACUGUGCACAAACGCAGAAACAUGAUUUGUUUUAAAACAUGUUUGUGGAGAUAGGACAAAGUAUAUUGAAUCAGAAGUUCAAGCACACAAACCUCUCUUCUCUUCUCAGCCCGUUGGUCACAUUUGAAACUGAAUCCAUAAUUUGGAAGUGCACCAACUUUACGAGGUUUGCCAUCGUCUGCCUUGGGGCUACUAUGGAAACCAGAAAGUCAAAAUCAACAUAAAUGCAGAAUUGCCUCAAGCUUGCCACAAGAAAGAAGAGAUGGUAAAGAUAAAAGGUGAAAGAAAAUACUUAGAAGACUGAGUAUCAUCUUCAGAUGUCUCAUGGGUUUGUUUCUUUUGAGGCUUUGGUUUCACCUUGUCCCUGUAUCAAAGAGAGUAAGAAAUCUCCAGGUUUCAACGAUUGUUAAAAGGACAAAAUGACUAAAUGAGAAGACUUAUAAGAUAUAACCAAUGUAUAAUCUAAUAUAUGGAAGUUAUUGAACUCUAGCAAAAGUUCAAGUUUUAUGGAAAGGAACUCUGAUUUCAAAAAUGAGGACUCAGUACCCGGUGGCGCUUUCAGCUGGUGCAGAGUCUUGCUUUCCAUGCUGAUAUGAAGAAAUCAUCAGCUUGAAAUAAGAACAAGGUCACACAAGAAUAUGCAAAUAAACCUAGAAGCAAGAGAUAAGUACCUCCGUGACGUGAGCCGCUCUGCCAUUGAGUGAUGUGCUUUUUAGAGACUUUGUUGUAGGUGCUUUAGGAGCAACAGAAGUUACAGAACCAUUUGAUGCUGCCACUUUAACAGUUGCAUCUUUUUUCUCUUUCUUCUUUUUGAUAUGUACCGAUGGAACACUCUUACCACCUGAGAGUUUCUCAUGCUUAAGCUUCUUUUCGCCUUUAACAUGCUCUUGAUCUUCUACAUUUACACCUUGUGUGACCUAAAAUAGUAAAAGAGACAAAAACACAAAUGUUAAUCAUAGCCAUUUAUCUAACGGACGAGUAGACAAACCAUCCAAGAGUUACAAACCUCAGCUGCUGUCUCUUUGGGCUGUUCAACUGCAUCCAAAUUGGAACUAUCUCCUGAAUUCUCAUUCUGACUAUCCGAAGUAGUAUCCAACGUCUCGCCAGAUUCAACACCAACAUCUUCCACUGCUACACCACCAUUUGCAAGAGCAGAGUCCGUCCCAUCAGCAGCCAUGACACUUUCCGGAUCCAUAGUAAACUACAAAACAACAAAGAUGGAGUUCACACUGAUAUAAGUGAAGAAGCAGAAAAGAUUAUGAACAGAAAUAUUAAGAAAAUUUUACCUAAAAAAGCAUUCACUUAAAAUUAACACAAACUUGAAACCAGGCAUUGUAAUGUAAAACAAUCAAAAGACAACAAACAUGUUUCACCAAAAUCAAAUCAAAGUGCUUUUGUAGGGUUUAUGAAGUGAAACAACACAUAUCAGUGACCAAGACUCAAGCUACAACAUUUUAGAAGUGUUGAACAUCAAAAGCACUCUUCUUGUCCAAUACCCAAAGGCUUCAGCUACUCAUAAGUAAAUGGAUUCGUACAAAACCAGGUCACCAGGUCGAUCAAAUUAAAGACAAAACCUACUCACUUAGCUUACUCAUCCAUAACUAACUGAUCUACGUAAACAAAUCAGAGAAACACAAAUUUAAUCUGGAAUUUAAAAAAAAAAAAGCAAAUCUAAAUCUUGUGGUACUGAGCUCACUAGUGAUGGCAGUUUCAACUUUGGAUCUACCGACACUCUAAACCAAGCAAUGAAAAACGAACAAAGUAGAUAACUUUCCUCAGAAGUUCCGCCAUUUUUUUCACAGCAACCAAACAAAGAAGAAACAAGAAGACAAGGCCAAAAGAAACAAACAAGCAAAAAAAAAAACACGAAGACGCACAUAUUUACUCACCAAACGCAGUUACCAGAGCAAAUCAAGCAUCCAUUAAAGGUGAAAUCGAAGGAGAAGACUAAGGAAGACGAGGUUUCAUAGAGUUUUGAGAUUUCGAUUUGUUCUUUGAGUGCUUUUUUUUUUGUUGGUUUUGGGUUUUGUGAGGGAUGGAUUCUCUCUGUCUACUCAAGUUUUUUUUUGUUCUUGUCUUUUUUUUUUUUCUCUAUGUGAAUAGAGAAAAAUGUCAAAACUCCCAUUUAAUAUUUAUUACAACGACUAAUCUAAUUACCACGUCAUCGGUGAAAUUACGGUUAAUCGGCGGUUUAUUUAUAUUUUAAUCGUGGGACUGAUGGGGAGAGUGGAGGUUUCGUGGAGCUAAAUAGUAUUUUCCUAAUUUCCACUGUUAAAACUUAAAAAUAAUUUAAAUAUUUUUCUUUUUAUAUACUACAAGUCCUAUAUAACUAGAAGGCAUGUAUUACAGAAAUCUCUCACAGGCCCAUUUCCCCAGACGAGUGCACUCCUCAGAUCUAGUUCGAUCGCCUCCGCUCCCCACCUCAGCUCCUCCGUUCUGUAGCUCCGACAUCCACCGCAACUACUUUCCGGCGUGAAGAAUUCUGGGGCAAUCGAUUCCCCCUUUUAUGGUGGUUCUUUGUACGGUGUAAAAAUGAAAUCUGGAAAGAAACCCAUGGCAGAUCUGGGAGCUUUGUUCGACGAAAUCUUAAUAAACUAAACAUACCAGCUUCUUACCUAGACGCUGAGGACCGGAGGACAGUUUCCUCUCUCGUCAGUGAGACCUACCACACUCAGUCUCUACGGACACCUCGUCGUUACCUCACAGUGAGGAUUCAACCCAUCUCAUUAAGCAGUGCAACCUACAUCAACAUGUCGAACCGGUAUUCAAGAUCCGAAAAAGGAAAAUGGGUGCCUGAGGCAUCUAGAACCCCAACACGGAAGCCCUCAUCGCAAGGAAGAAGAGCCCCAAUUCUACUCCCGUCAAGUGACAACUCAGAACUCAUCGAAGACAACAAGCUCACUCUCUUAGGUCGGGUCACCAAACCAUCGAUCCAAAAACCUCAGUGGGUCCUGGACUGGCUAAUCCAAUUCUGGAACCUCGAAACCGCUGUCACAGGAAGAACUCUAGGACCAGACUUGUUCCAAGUCAAAUUUGAGACAGAGGAUGCCUUACUAUCUGUAAUGCGGCGAGCACCUUUCCACUACAAAAGGUGGAUGAUCAUCCUACAACAAUGGGAGCCAAUCGUCUCAAACUCUUUCCCCAGGCGUACUCCAUUCUGGAUUAAUAUUCACGGCCUGCCCCUCCACUUCUGGACCUUCCAGAUCCUAGAAACUAUUGGAAAAGCGCUUGGUGUCCACAUGGAUGAGGACAUUCCCCAAGGCAGAGUUCGUGUGGAUAUUGAUUGUCUAAAAAACCUGGAGAUGCAACUUCCGGUCCAACUACAGUCUGGUGAAGUCUUCAAUGUGGACUUGGAGUACGAAAAUCUGCAGAAACAUUGUUUCUACUGCUACUCUCUCUUCCAUGAGGAGGAUGACUGCCCUAGUAAACCAGUAUCGACAAGAACAUCUACCCACGAGUUGGGAAUAAGCCAGCAGAAUACACUGAGGAGCCUAGAGGAUCACCGAAGACGUCAAGACUAUCGACGAGCUCAGACAAGCCAAAUGAGGAACUCGGGUUCUCUUCCUAGAGAUGAUCAUGCGGUAUCUCAAAGAUCAUCUACCUCUCGACCAAGUUAUCCGGAAAGAAGACCUUACCAUGACUAUGCGCGACACCAACCAACUUAUGACUCAAGAGCUGUAGGGAGAGCUCAGGACAGGAGGCCUACAUUUGAGAGAAGAGAGAUAAGAGACCGUUCAUCCACCCAUUCUUCGAGAGAAUACCACCUUCAUGGGGAUCGUCCUCAAUAUUCUCAGUCCUCAAGGACCCCUCCCCCGAAUCCAGCCAGGGAGCCUAUGGAACUACCGGUUAUUCCGGAACGUGGUGAGAUUAACAGCCACUCCUCAGAGCGACGAUCAGCGCUGGAGAGAAUUGAGCGUCCCCAUCAGGAACCCCAGAGGUCUGGUGGUCUCUCCACCUCAUUGAUAGCACGGCUGCAAGAUGUUGAGGUCAACUAUGAGCAAGGAGACCUUCGUAAUAAACUUGAAGGAAGUGCUGGUAGCAAACAUAACCAGUCACCGGCUAGGGAUCACCCUGUGCCUGGUCAGAGAGUCCCUGCUGCACUGAGAAUUGGCUCUCCUGCAGGCACUAAAACCAAAACUAAUCAAGCAUCCUCAAGUAAAAAGAAAGCUGCAAGCAAAGCAUCGGCAAAGAAAGGAACCACUGCUAAUCCAGCAGCUCAAGGGAAGAGAGCAACCAGAGCAAAAGUGAAUAGAAGUCCUCUCCAAAGUACGCGCCUUUCGAAUUAGAUAACAGCUCGCUCCACUAAUCCACCCCGCAAGAAAUUAUGUGUGGAAAAGAGUGGGAAUGAAGACUUACCUGAUCCUCAGGCGCAAGAACCCCCAACAAUGGUGCAAGUCCCAGCAACAAGGAAGCGAAGGGCGGAUUUUCGGUCCCCGCAAAACCCGAUUCCUUAGCUCUAGCCUGUUGGAACUGUCAAGGUUUGGGAGGUGACUUGACAGUUCCAAGAAUCCGGGAAAUAAAAAAGACCCUAAACCCGGAUAUUCUCUUCCUAAUGGAGACCAAAAAUCAAGAUGAGUUUGUGCUUUCUGAGCUCCAGAGUCUCCGAUAUGAUCACCACAUCACAGUCCCACCAAUUGGCCUCAGCGGAGGCUUGGCACUCUUCAGGAAAGCAAACAUUGACAUCAGUAUACUUGAAGCGACCCCACACUUCAUUGACACCAAACUGAAGGUAAAAAAUACUGAGUUUCAUGUCACUUUUAUAUAUGGGAUGCCUCAACAGGAAAAUAGAGCAGCGUUUUGGGAAUCCAUUUCCCAGCUUGGACGAGACAGAGAUACUGCCUGGCUUCUUUCAGGGGACUUUAAUGACAUCUUAGACAAUGUGGAGAAGGUCGGGGGACCAGAGAGAUGUGAGGGUUCCUUUAUCCCAUUUCGAAGCUUUGUGUCGGAAAAUGGCCUGUGGGAUGUGAAGCAUGUAGGAAACCCCCUUUCGUGGAGGGGACAACGAUGUACUCACUUCAUCCGAGCCAGGUUGGACCGUGCAUUAGCAAACUGUGCUUGGUUUGAUAUGUUCUCUGCUGGCCGCUGUGAUUACUUCCGUUUUGAGGGUUCUGACCAUAGACCUCUGGUGACCUACUUGGAUUCAUCUAAGCCUAAGAGGAGGCGCUUGUUCAGGUACGACCGAAGCAUCAAGGAUAUGCCAGAGGCACGCAAAGUGAUAGAAGAAGCCUGGAGGAAAGAGGUACUUGAGCAGGUGGAAAAUAAGAUAAAGCGUUGCCGUGAGGAACUAAUCAAAUGGUUUAAAACCAAGAAGGAGAAUAGUGCAAAAGCUAUUAUUGAUCUCCAGUCUAGAUUGGAGGAGCAUCUUUCCUGUGGAGACCCAUCCCCGGAAAUCAUCAGGGAGCUCUCCCUAGCCCUCAGCAAAGCAUACAAGGAGGAGGAAUUGUAUUGGCGUCAAAGAAGUAGGGUGCAAUGGUUACAAAGAGGAGACAGGAACAGCGCCUACUUCCAUGCUGUAACUAAACGAAGGAGAUCCUAUAAUCGCCUAACCACCAUUGAAGAUGAAGCCGACAUACCUUUUCAUGAGGAGACUGAGAUCGGUAAAGUCUUUGAAGACUACUAUACCGAACUCUUUACAUCUAAUGGCGCUGGUGGUCUGGGAGCUGUUGAAGAAGCCAUCUCAAGGCGUAUUUCCCCGGAGACCAAUCAAAUACUCACGGCGAUCCCAACGGAUACGGAGAUUCUCUGCGCAGUGAAGCAAAUCAACACUGAUAAGGCGCCAGGGCCAGACGGUUUCUCUGCAGGGUUCUAUCAUUCCUUUUGGGAAGUGAUAGGGGAGGACAUUUGUAGGGAGGUGCGGGACUUUUUCCUGACUGGAAAAAUGGAUCCAAAAAUCAAUGAAACCCAUAUUUGUUUACUCCCUAAGGUCUCUGGUGCAAAGAGCCCCUCAGAGUUCCGUCCCAUAGCGCUCUGCAAUGUGCGCUACAAGAUCAUAGCAAAGAUACUAACCCUUCGUCUCCAGAAGUUCCUUGAUCACAUCGUGUCCAAACAGCAAUCAGCUUUUGUCCCGGGACGUGCUAUUACGGACAACAUCCUUAUCACUCACGAGAACCUGCACUAUCUAAAGGUUUCUGAAGCCUCAAGGAGAUGCUCCAUGGUGAUCAAAACCGACAUGAGCAAAGCGUACGAUAGAAUUGAGUGGAAUUUCCUAGCCAAAGUCCUCAGCCAGCUAGGCUUUGACUCGGUGUGGGUGAAUUGGGUGAUGGAAUGUGUCUCCACUGUUUAGUAUGCAUACCUCAUCAAUGGUGCGCCGUUUGGUAAAGUUCAACCAAACAGAGGGCUACGGCAAGGAGACCCGCUGUCCCCGUACCUGUUCAUUCUGUGUGCUGAGGUACUCACGGGACUGUGCCUGAAGGAACAACAAAAUGGGCGACUGAAGGGACUACAAGUGGCUCGAAGAAGCCCUUUCAUCAACCAUUUAUUGUUCGCGGAUGAUACAGUCUUUUUCAGUAGUACCAAUGUGAAGAGCUGUACCUCUCUAAUGAGGAUUCUGAAGAGAUACGAGAACUGCUCAGGGCAGUGCAUAAACCUGAACAAGUCAACAAUAUCCUUCUCCUCGAAAACGCCAGAGUCGAUCAUGCGUAGAGUUAAAACCUUUAUUGGCAUAGAGAAGGAAGGUGGCAUGGGCAAAUACCUAGGGCUACCUGAGAAUUUUGGACGCAAGAAGUGUUUGAUCUUAAGGUGCCUCUUUUAUAAGGAAGUUUCUAAAAGAUUUAAUAUUUCUUCAGGACAAGCAGGUGGAAUUGACUUCGAGCAUACCUUCUGUUUCCCCUGCUAGCAUGGCUUCGUACCCUUUCUUAAUGCCCUCUACAACCUCCUCAGGUAAACAUAUUACGUGUGAAGGUGUUGCAUCUUAUCUAUAUCUAAGACUAUAUGCACACAUCCAUCAUGUUGACAAGAAUAAGAGUUUCUGAGAUUAUUUAUGUCCUGCGUCUAGUAAAGGACUAUAAUGCAUACUCUUAUCUUUGUUUAUUUUUUUUUUGUGAAAAUCUACAUUGAAUGAUUUUUUUGUUUCUCUGUCCUUCUCUGAUCUUGAUACCUUGUAAUGAUGAUUGUCUUAACAUAUGUUUCACCAGUGAGAUUAACUGAUUUUUUGGUUUCUCUGUCUCAGAUUUAAGUGGCAAUGCAUUCAGUCUCUUAGACCAAAAUGUAAGAGCAUUUAGUCAAAUCAGAGCUAAUCUCUCCUCAUACAAGGUAAGUUUCUAGUUUACAUGGUUUAAAAUAAUGCAAAAUGGCAUUCUUGCUAAAAAUUGGUCUUUCCUGGUGACUAUGAACAGGCACAUGAUAACGUAGAUCUCUUCUAUCAGGCAAGGAACAACCUUAUCAGGAUCCAAAAUGAGUAAGUUAUUACUCUCUUCAAGAUUUUCUGUAAAUUUGGGUGGAGCUUGAUCAACUAAUGUCUUUAAUUUGGCAGCAUGAAUAAUAUGCCUGGCUUGAUGAGCCAGAUGCCACCAUUGUCUGUUGCAAUCGAUGAUGAUCUCUCAGCUAUCUUAUUUAGUAAUUCAACUUCGGUAAGUUCAUUAUGCUGCUCACUUUUGUAUCAAAAGUCCAUUACUAUUUUAUAUAGAGGAUGUUCACUUGUUACUUAUAUUCUUCCCAAUUUGUUCCAGGCGGUGCCUUUCAACACAAUGCAAAAUGGCGGUUUCCAUAUGAAGCAAGAGCCUUUUGGGUGACUGAUGAAGUCAUCUGGUAUCCCUUAAUCAUCUGUAAAUGAUCUUAAAAAGAAGCUGGAGAGCUCAAUAUAUAUAUAUAUAUAUAUACUAGUUUUUUUUAAAAUGAAUCUUUAAUUUUGAAUUGAAUGGGUACAAUGUAGCUAAUAUUUGUAGUUUUCAAAGAAAAUGUAUGGAAUCAGGUGAAUAAUAGAUGGUAAAAUCACAAGAUCCUCAGGAUGUUAAACUAUUUAGCUUACUCUUUGAGUCUUUUCACACAUCUUUUCAUAGAGUAAUAUUACAGUUUUGGGUAAAGUCCACUAAUUGAAUUUAGAUGCGAUAUUUUAAAAACAUAUUGUUGAGGUAGAUGGACUUCUAACCUAAAACCAAUUGGUGAUAAGUGGAGUGGCUCAUCUAUCUUAUAUAUUACUAAAGAUCUCUUCCAACUACCGAUGUGGAACAUUUGUCCCUAAUACGCCUCUUCGAGAUGAUAGUUCUUUAAGAGCCAAUUUCGGAAUGUUUGGGCAAGGAUCGAGGGCCAACUUUAGGCCGGAUCGAUGUGGAUCGGGUUGGACUGCGUGGAUUGGGCUUGGGCCGGGUCGAUGUGGAUCGGGUUGGACUGCGUGGAUCGGGCUCUGAUACCAUGUUAAGCUAGAUGGGCUUCCAACCUAAAACCAAUUGGUGAUAAGUGGAAUGACUCAUCUAUCUUAUAUACUACUAAAGAUCCAUUCCAACUACGGAUGUGGGACCUUUGUCCCUAAUACAUAUGAGAAGUUUAGGAUUUAAGAACUAAAAGGCAGAAGUGGUUGUCCAAAAAUAGAAGAAAACAUUGUGGGAAACAAGUCCAAAUUAAACAUAUGCUAAUAGAAAAAGAAACCCGGAUUUUAAGGGGGUUUUGGAUAUGGUUAGGUUACUUUUUACAUAUUGGUUUACAUACAAAUGAGAAAGACGUGACCUUCUCCAACAUCCAUUGGUGUUAACAAAUAACUUCACAUUUUCUUAAUCAAACAGUUUUAACUUUUCGUUAAUUAUUAUACAUAUUUCAAUCUAUUUGGGUCGCUUUAAUAAGGUGAACCAUGCUAUUCCCCACACUAUUAUAGUAUUAUAACAUGCUUUACUCUUAAAUGGGAACUUUACUCAUCCUGUUAAUCAUCAGAAAUAUUAAAGCCAGCUCAUGGUAUCUGCACUAUCUGUUAUUUAAAUGUAUAUGUACUCGAAUGGUUUUUGAAUGUACUUUUCAAAAGUAACAAUCAAAGUAAAAUAAUACCUUGAAGACUACUUAAGACACAUGACCUCGAUAUACAGCUUGACGACUGUAGAACUACACGUAAAUACAAAUCGAUUGUCUUAUAGACCAAUAUGAUGAUACAAAUAGAUAGAUAGUUGCUUCUUCUUUUUUGACCAAUCAAUAAUAUUCAGAUUAGGAUUGUAUAGGUAAAGAGAAGUUGAUAAAGUACAAUAUUACCCAUUUUAUGCAAAAUAGUAAUUAAAGAAUACUAGUGUUCAUAACUAAAUACAUGCACCCACAUGUACAUUUCUACACACCCAACCACAAGCUUGUGGUAGGCCUAGAUAAUUAAUUCAAAUUAAAGUUUGUUUUUCUUAAGAAACCAAAUGAAAGUUAGCAUUACUUAUUUCUUAGACUGCAUAUGAACUAAUAGUUUAUUAGUUAUAGUAAUUAAGAAUUAGAAACCUAAUUAAGAAGCUUAGAAGGUGUUACUCCUUUCUACAUCAUUUGUUAUUUUGAUCAUCAUGCGCUCGUACUUAGUUCUAUCUCAAUGUUUUUGUAGAGCACUUCACAUUUAGAAAUUGAAAAGUUUAAUAUAUAGUUUAAUGAAUCAAACUAAUUUCAUUUGAACACUUGUUCUCUUUAGUAGAAAUGGUAAGUAUGAUUAUCCUGAUUAGCACUGGGAGAGAGUGAUUAAAGAGGAAGCAAAGUGAUUAGACACAAAAACCACUUUUAUUAGAGAAUAGUUGGUCCAGCGAUUAGUGUAAGAUACAGGUACAACUGUGACACCAUUCCUUUCUUGAUGUUAAUCUCAAAACUUUAUCAUUCUACCAUUUCUAUCUAAUCCUAGCUUCUUUCUAAGUUUGUUCAUUUAAUGAUUUCUCAUCGAAAUCGACAAUUAGAGUACCUCUUUGAUCAAAGCUAUAUAUAUUCGCAAAUAAUUAGUUUAGGUAGAAAACAAUUGGAAUAUUGUAAGUAGUAAAAGCAAAAUACUUUUUGUAAGAUAGUUUACUUUUUGUAAGAUAGUUAUGAUGGUUUUAAUGUCUCCUGAAUAAAACAAGCAUGUCGUUGCAGGGAAAAUUAAAUUAACCAUCAUACUAGUAUUUUUCAUUUGGCCCCUGAAUUGACUAGUUUGAUAUAAGCAUUGGUGAAGUCCUUUCAAGAGUUUGUCUUGAUCUUCCGUACAUCGCUUCACCCACCUAUGCUUCAUCAAACUGCGAAGCUUGUAUCAGUUGAAUAGCUCCCCAUUUUGUCAACGAGCCCUAUCCUCCAAGUGUUGUUCAGCACAUAUAAAUCCACUCUACUUUGGAAUGUUACUUAGAAAAUUAGGUCUUGAAAUGAUACGUUAAGAACUUUCUACGGAGAGAGACCUUAAGCACUCAUCUUCCUCCACGAGGCCAUGAGCUAAAUUAACAAAUUGAGGUAUAUUAACAUGUUGGUGAUAAGAAACAUUUGAAGAGAGCCACUGAAUAUUGAACAUACCAGAACUCUCAAGUACUCCAUAUUCAGAUAAAUUAAGGCAAAAAAUAUGAACAAAACAUCCAGAAUUAACCUCGCAUAGUCACAUGUUCCAUUCUAGAUAUAAUAUACCUUUUACAUUUCCAAACUUGUCGGCUCACCAACAAAGAGAAACACUAUUACAACAGAGUAUACUAAGUUACUAACCAAAAAGACGUCUUAUCUCGGACCGGAGAGCUCGCUAUGAAAUGCCGAUGAUGAAGUUCUACAAUCGCUUUCUUCGCUGAUCGACCUCAACUCCAACCUCGUGUAACGGUUCGGGUCUAAAGUGGAAGAAGACGGAGGCUGAAGCACCGGGAAAACACCUUCAAGCAUUUGAACAACUUUGCUCAUGGACGGUCUCAAAUGCAUAUCUUCUUGUAUACACCAAAACGCAGUUUUCAUCGCCCUUCCAACUCUCGCAUCGUUCACAAUAUCAACACCCUCCUCCUCCUCCAUCUCCCAAUCAACGUUCUCUAUAAGCAACCCUUCCCGCAUCCUCGUAAAAGCAUAAGCAGGAAAAUUGGUACUCGCUAAAGAAGACUCUUGGUUCUUUCGUCUUCUUAUUAUUUCUAUAAGAACCAUUCCGUAGCUGUAAACAUCGCUCUUCUCCGAGAUGGCGUAAGUCGUUAUCCACUCGGGAGCCAUAUAGCCUCUCGUCCCACGCAAAGUUGUGAAGACAUGGCUCUGCUCCCGUGUCAUGAGCUUAGCGAGUCCAAAGUCAGAUACCCUGACGUUGAAGUCAUCGUCCAACAAGAUGUUCUCUGGUUUAAUAUCACAAUGGAUGAUUCUUGCGUCGCAAUCUUCGUGUAAAUAAGCUAAACCUUUCGCUGUUCCGACCGCGAUGCUGAACCUCGCGUCCCAAUCCAAGAGUAUAUCUCCAUCUCUUCUCCUGAAUAUCCAUCUCUCUAAUGAACCUUUCGAUAAGUACUCGUAAACGAGAAGCCUGUGAGCUCCUUCCUCGCAGAAACCUUUGAGAUGCACCAAGUUUUGAUGGUGAAUGCUACCGAUCGUACUAACCUCGGCUUUGAACUCUUUCUUGCCUUGACCUAUUCCUUCAAGCUGCUUCACGGCUAUUUGAGAACCGUCUGGUAACGUUCCUUUGAAAACUGAACCAAACCCUCCUUGACCUAACUUGACGGAGAAGUUACGCGUAGCUAACUGAAGAUCUUUGUAAGGAAAUCGGAUAGACGUACAAGGUAGUAUGUUGACGAAACUAUGAGUCGUCUCUUGAGAAGCAAGCAAACGUGCUUUCACUCUCCUAUGAAUCCGAAACGCCUCGAAGAUCAAAACGCAGAUGAUAAAGACCGCCGCCAAGACGGUAAUAAUAAUCACUAUAUAUGGAAAGUGUUUCCCAUCGCCAUAAUCAUUAGUAGCCACCUUGAUAUAAGAGACGAAACCAGAACCUCCCCUUCCAGAGGAUUUAAAGCUUCCAAUCCAAUCAAACAAGAAGCAGUCACCAGAACUGUUCUGGAAGAAAAGACCGAGGCACGAGCAGUUGGUGUUGCAAAACUCUUUACAGCUAUCAAGAUUGGUUUUCUUGGGGAAAGGAGAAGCAAACCCUAGUGCGAAGUAGUCAACACUAUCUCCAGCAUUUACAAGUUUCACAGACAAUGCUGCAUUGUCGUUUGUUUUCUUACAAGGAGAAGUAUCGAUCCCGGUUUUGCAAUCGCUUGACAAUCCGGACACACAUUGACACGCUUUACUAACAGAGCAGAGGUAGUAAGGGCUACAAGGCUCGGGCGUUGCACACUGAUCGGUCGGGAUUUUAGCGAGAGUAUCAGCCGCAAACACACCACUCCCAAGACUUGUAAAGGAGACCACACCGUUGUUUCCCAGAACCGCAAUCCAAGUGGCGUUAUCAUCUCUACUUUCUGAUGAAAUCAAAAACUGCCAUAACAAAAGACUGUUUAUCAUCAAAGAACAUCCACGAGUUUCCGAGUAAAGACGAUGAAGUCACUACACCACCGUAUUUAUCAAUGAUCCUCCCUCUGUCGCUUCGCAUGGACCAGUACACUUGAGGAGUCAAGCUGUUGACAGAUAAAAACAUAUCUCCUGAUUUGAUCUCAAGAGAAUAAGUCAUGUUGCUCGUAGAAGAAGCAUUGCUAGUGAGCUCCAUGCCUUCUUUUAAGACUUGAUUCGUAAUUAGAGUAUCUGUAGGAUGUUCAAAGCUCUCCCAGAUCGAAGCUCCGUCACCAGAAACAACAACGAGGUUUCCCGAGUCACGUAGCUCGAUUCUUGAAGCGCUUUUGCCUGAAUUAUCCAGCCUCCAAACCUCAGGUCCUCCUCCUCCUCCUUCUCCACGCAGCACCACAUUCCCGUUGUCUUGGAACUGGAGCUUGUCGGAAUUUGAAACAGGGGAAGCUCUGUUCGCCGACCAGAUCAGUCUCGAGCUGCUUCUGUGGACGAUGCUGAGUGUGAAGAGAGUGACGUCAUCUGGUGUGGUUAUGAAACCGAAACCAAAGUCUUUGUUGAUGGAUUCGAGGAAGAUACCGUAGUUGUUGAUGUAAUCCACCUGAGAUCCUUCAAACCCUGGAGAGAUGCUUCCAUUGUACGGUACAAGGCAAAGCAGCAGGUCCGGGAAGAAUAUCAACAUAGAUGCUAAGAGGACACUGAAGAACAUUCUCAUUCUCAUAGCUUCCUGCUUUUCUCGUUUUUUCUUCUUUUGCUUGUUUGUGUGGCGAAAAACCUCGACACACGUUAGAAGAAUUAAACCAAAAAUAAAUGGAGUUUUGUAAAUGUUUGGAUUGUGAUUCACGCUGAGAAUCGGAUAAAGGAAAAGAAGAAAGAAAAAACAGUUGGUCUUGUUACAAACAUUCUAGUCUAGCAAGAAGGUUUCAAAGUGGGAAAGCUUUUAGUUUUAGUGGUCCACACGUGAGAUACGCGUGACUUAUUAUGUACGAGUAUAUACGAGUCUGAUCAUCAAGCUUGGAAGCUCCGCUCCUCUCUUCAAAAUUGAAAUAAAAUUACAAAAAGUAUCUACUAUUAUCAGUAGAAAAUCGAUGAGUAGUACAUUUUAAUCUAUGUAUACAAGUCGGAACAUUACAAAACUGAAACUGAGAGAUAGAACACUAAUGUUUUAAACAGAACAACAAUAUACAUACAAAUACAUGGUUGUAAUGUCAUCUAAAAACCUAUAAGAAGAAGACACUAAAAACUGGGCUAUCUCGGACCGGAGAGUCUCACGGCCGACAGAUAGUUCUCACUAUUACAAUCCGACGGUCCAGACGAGGUACCACCACCUUCCUCACUAAUCGACUUACAGAAGCUCGAGUAAAGCCUCGACCCCAAAGUAGAAGAAGACGGAGGCUGAACCACGUGAAAAACUCCUUCAAGCAUCUGAACAACUUUGCUCAUCGACGGUCUCAAAUGCAUAUCUUCUUGUAUACACCAAAGCGCAGUCUUCAUCGCUCUCUGAACUCUCUCAUCGUCCACGUCAACGUUCUUCAUCUUCCCAUCAACAAUCUCCAAAAGCUUCCCUUCUUCCAUCAUCUUAAAAGCAUAAGAAGGAAAGUGGCACUUCUCCGAGGACUCUGAUGGAUCAUAGUUCUUUCUUCCUCCUAUCAGCUCUAGCAACACCAUCCCGUAGCUGUAGACAUCGCUCUUCUCCGAGAUCGCGUAGUUUGUGAUCCACUCAGGUGCCAAAUAGCCUCUAGUCCCACGCAUAGUCGUGAAAACAUGGCUCUGCUCUCUAGUCAUGAGCUUAGCUAGUCCGAAAUCAGAUACCUUGGCGUUGAAGUUAUCAUCCAAGAGAAUGUUCUCAGGUUUAAUAUCGCAAUGGAUGAUUCUUGCGUCGCAAUCUUCGUGUAGAUAAGCUAACCCUUUCGCUGUUCCGACCGCGAUGUUGAACCUUGUGUCCCAAUCCAACAGAAUAUCUCCAUCUCUUCUCCUGAAUAUCCAUUUCUCCAACGAACCUUUCGCUAAGAACUCAUAAACGAGAAGCCUAUGAGCUCCUUCCGCGCAGAACCCCCUAAGCCGCACCAGAUGCAGAUGAUGAAUGCUUCCGAUGAUACUAACCUCGGCUCGAAACUCUUUCUUCCCUUGACCUAUUCCUUCAAGCUUCUUCACCGCUAAACGCGAACCAUCAGGUAACGUCCCUUCGUAGACCGAACCAAACCCUCCUUGACCUAACUUGAUAGAGAAGUUAUUCGUCGCUGACUGAAGAUCUUUAAACGUAAACCUAAUAGGCAUCCCCGAUAGAUUCUCCAAGAAGUUAUCCUCCUCUGAGCUAUGCUCCUCAUCAGCGUCCAGAAUAGUUUUCGUCCUCGUUCUCCUAUGAAUCCGAAACGCCACGAAGAUCAAACAACCGAUGAUGAAAACCGUCGCCAAGACUAUAAUCACUAUAUAAGGAAAGUGUUUCCCAUCUUCUUCUUCUCCGUUGUCUCCACCUCCUAAACCAUUAGUAGCCACCUUGAUGUAAGAAACCAAACCAGAACCUCCACUUCCAGAGGCUUUAAAACUCCCAAUCCAAUCAAACAAGAAGCAGUCACCAGAACUGUUCCGAAAGAACAAACCGAGGCACGAGCAGUUGCUGCUGCAGAACUCUUUACAGCUAUCGAGACUAGCUUUCUUAGAGAACGGAGAAGCAAACCCGAGCGCGAAGUAGUCAACACCGUCUCCAGCAUUUACAAGCUCCACACGGGAAGAUGCGUUAUUGUCUUUCUUAUUAUUACAAAGAGAAGUAUCGAUCCCGGAUUUGCAAUCAGACCGAACUCUUGAUAAACCGGAAACACAUCCACACACUUUACUACCAGAGCAUGUGAAGUAAGACCCGCAAGGCUCAGGCGUCGCACACUGAUCGCUCGGGAUUUUGGUCGAGGAAUCAGCAGCAGAGACACCGCUCCCGAGAUUCGAGAACGAGAUCACGCCGUUGUUUCCUAAAACCGCGAUCCACGUGGCGUUAUCGUCUUUAUUAUCCGAAUAAACAAACUGCCAUAACAAAGACUGUUUCUCAUCAAAGAACCUCCACGAGUUCCCGAGGAGAGAGGAAGAAGUCACGACGCCGUUUUGUUCGAUGAUCCUCCCUCUGUCGUUCCCCAUGGACCAGUACGUUUGAGGUGUCGAGCUGUCAACGGAUAAAACCAUAUCUCCCGAUUUAAUCUCGAGAGAGUAACUCAUGUUGCUCGAAGACGGGUUGCUUGUGAGUUUCAUCCCUUCUUUAAAAGCCUGGUUUGUGAUCAGAGUAUCCGUAGGAUGAUCAAAGCUCUCCCAGAUCGAAGCUCCGUCGCCGGAGACAACCACGAGGUUCCCCGAGUCGCGAAGCUCCAUUCUCGAAGCGUUUUUGUUUGCAUCGUCCAAUCUCCAAACCUCGGAUCCUCCUUCUGUACGGAGCACGACGGUUCCGUUGUCUUGGAACUGGAGCUUGUCGGAGUUCGAAACAGGGGAAGCUCUGUUCGCCGACCAGAUGAGUCUCGAGGUGGGUUUGUGGACGAUGCUGAGUGUGAAGAGAGUGACGGAAGCUGGAGUGGUUACGAAGCCGAAGCCGAAGGCUGAGCUGUUGGAUUCGAGGAAGAUGCCGUUGUUGUUGAUGUAGUUCAUCUGAGUUCCUUCGAAGCCUGGUGUGAUGCUGCCGGUGUAGGGUACACCGCCGUGUAGAGGAUGAGGGAAGAGAGUUAGACAUGUUGUUAAGAAGACGAUGAAGAAGCCUCUCAUCGCUUUGCCUAGAAUUUUACACUAAAUCUUUAUGGAAAAAAAUGUAAACUUUUUUUGUGUGUGGAUCAAGUCAAUGGAUCUGAGAAACAAACAAAAGAAGAUUCCCAAAAGAUGCAAAAAGACAAAUCUCAGAGCGCUGUCAGGUGAACGCUAUGCAUCUGUAAAUGGAAACUGAUUGUUUCUAGAUUCAUCGCAAACCUCCCCCGAGAAGAAGAUUUCGUGACGGAGAAAUAAUCAAACAGAGAAACAAGAACUCGCCUUCGUCUUGUUAGAAAGUUUCAAACUUUUUCAGACCGGAAUUGGGUAAAGGAACCGGAAAAAUUGAAAUUGAAAUUGAAGAAGAGCUGGAUUAUUUGAAGGGGUUGGAGAACUCUGGUUUUGUGUGUUUUGCCUAUCUGUCUCAGAUUCAAUGAAGUUUGAAUUGGGUCUUUGAUAAGAGAGGAAAGCGACAACUGGGGGGGAUUGAAACAGAGAGAAGAAGGUUGUAACUUGUAAGAGUGUCUUAAUUAAUAAAAAUCUGUGUGAGCCGUUUCCUUUAAAUCCGUUUUCCUUUUUUAUAUUUUCCCUCUUGCGACCGUCACAAACUAUUAUGGACAGAUCCGACCCGCUUGGGUGGGUCUCUCUUUUUAACCAAACAUGUUCUUAAAUUUUUUGACUUUUUGACUUUUCAGAGAGGACAGAAGAAGGAGACAGAUGUAGUUGAUUGUGUAAUAAAGGGUUGUGUGGAUAGGUUCGCACCGUACAGAUUGCAUUUAUGUUUUCGUAAAAGAAUUGCAUUUUUACUGAAUGGUUGAGGUGGAAUGAAGACUAUUCUCCAGAUGAGUCUCGAGGUGGGUUUGUGGACGAUGCUGAGUGUGAAGAGAGUGACGGAAGCUGGAGUGGUUACGAAGCCGAAGCCGAAGGCUGAGCUGUUGGAUUCGAGGAAGAUGCCGUUGUUGUUGAUGUAGUUCAUCUGAGUUCCUUCGAAGCCUGGUGUGAUGCUGCCGGUGUAGGGUACACCGCCGUGUAGAGGAUGAGGGAAGAGAGUUAGACAUGUUGUUAAGAAGACGAUGAAGAAGCCUCUCAUCGCUUUGCCUAGAAUUUUACACUAAAUCUUUAUGGAAAAAAAUGUAAACUUUUUUUGUGUGUGGAUCAAGUCAAUGGAUCUGAGAAACAAACAAAAGAAGAUUCCCAAAAGAUGCAAAAAGACAAAUCUCAGAGCGCUGUCAGGUGAACGCUAUGCAUCUGUAAAUGGAAACUGAUUGUUUCUAGAUUCAUCGCAAACCUCCCCCGAGAAGAAGAUUUCGUGACGGAGAAAUAAUCAAACAGAGAAACAAGAACUCGCCUUCGUCUUGUUAGAAAGUUUCAAACUUUUUCAGACCGGAAUUGGGUAAAGGAACCGGAAAAAUUGAAAUUGAAAUUGAAGAAGAGCUGGAUUAUUUGAAGGGGUUGGAGAACUCUGGUUUUGUGUGUUUUGCCUAUCUGUCUCAGAUUCAAUGAAGUUUGAAUUGGGUCUUUGAUAAGAGAGGAAAGCGACAACUGGGGGGGAUUGAAACAGAGAGAAGAAGGUUGUAACUUGUAAGAGUGUCUUAAUUAAUAAAAAUCUGUGUGAGCCGUUUCCUUUAAAUCCGUUUUCCUUUUUUAUAUUUUCCCUCUUGCGACCGUCACAAACUAUUAUGGACAGAUCCGACCCGCUUGGGUGGGUCUCUCUUUUUAACCAAACAUGUUCUUAAAUUUUUUGACUUUUUGACUUUUCAGAGAGGACAGAAGAAGGAGACAGAUGUAGUUGAUUGUGUAAUAAAGGGUUGUGUGGAUAGGUUCGCACCGUACAGAUUGCAUUUAUGUUUUCGUAAAAGAAUUGCAUUUUUACUGAAUGGUUGAGGUGGAAUGAAGACUAUUCUUUUGUUCUUAACGAAAGAACAAUCUGAACAUCACUUGAGAUUGCUUAAAAUUGUGUCAUGUAUGAAAUUUGAAUUUGGUGUGUAAUUGAUAUUUGUAUUGCAGAUGACGGAUUGUUUUUUCGCCUUGUCAUCACUAGUUAAAAGUUACAGGUUUCAAUUAUGUUUUUAGUAAAUGUAAAAUCAUACAAAAUUCAAUAUCAAAUGAAACCAAAAUAAAAAAUAAUGUAUAGCAUCUUCGAUACAAAACGUUAUUUUAAAAAAAAAAAUUGAGUAACUCUGGAGUUUAUUUAACUUUAGUCAUAUCCUAUUUGGAGUAAAAAAAAAAGAAUAAAUUUACUUUAUUAUAUAAUAAAAAUGAUUUGGGUGUCGAAACAUUGUUCUAUUCUAAAUUCUAUUUUGGAAUAAAAUAUAAAAUGAAAUUGGAGGCAAAAACUCUCUUUUUUAAAGAAUUUUAAAUUGUAUUCCAAUCAAAAAACCUUUCUUCUCUUUUAGUCAUGGGGAAUUCAAAGAUGGAUCAGCCAACGUCAAAACAUGGGUUUUUCGUGUGUGUAGUUUGAAUACACAUCUACUUCGUCUUUUUCUUUACCGUAAAAAAGGAAACUAUGUUCAACAAAUAACACCUAAACUUACUUUUUCCAAUAAAAGUAAAUAACACCUAACCUUACUAAGUCUUCCCAUGCAGGCCCGUCCCUCCAAUAAGGGAACUAAAGCAUCUGCUUUAGGCCACAAAAUAUAAACAAAACAUUAAUACCAUUUGUCACUGAAUAAUAGUUAGGUCAAAUGGUUUAAAAGUUUGAUCUGCAUAGUUUGAUUCUCUUUUUGUCCAGCGUAAUUUUAAUUUUUACCAUUCGAUAACUCUAUACCUUUUUGUAUUGGCUGACUGUUACUAUUUAUUGUUGGUAUUUAUAUAAGAGGCCACAUAAAUAUUUUUUGUGCUUUAGGCCACCCCAAAUUAUGGGACGGCACUGUUCCCAUGAAAUAUUAAAAACAGAAUAUCACUCACAAAAACGUAGAGAUUACGAAGGAAAAAAAAACUAUGAAUUAUGCCUUUUUUCAAAAAAAAAAAAAAAAACUAUGAAUUGGGUUGGAAAAGAACACGAAGAGGGACGUGGGGAAGUGUGAAAAAAUAGAUUGAGGUGUUUGUUUGAUUGUUAAGGUAAGACUGAGUACGGAAGCCACAGCAGUCAGUAUACCGAACUCCCCGUGUACUUUCUUACGUUCCAUCAAGAAUUUUUUACAUACAUAUUUGCCCAUAAGAAAAUAAAAUCUUUUUUAGACAAAACUAAAGAGAAAUUGUGUUUCUUUAUUAUUGUUUAAUCUAUUUCUUAAUAAUUUAUUUUUUUUUAUUUUUAAAUUAAAAAUACAUAUAGCAAAUUUUGUCGAAAGCCACAAAAUCAAUUUUUGACCAUUUUUUCAGUUUUAGGUUAAUGGAAACGACAAUUACUGAAAUGUCCUCAUUCCUAACCUAUCACUUACAAGUUUAUAGCGGCUGUUCAUUUUUUUUUCCUCACCAUUUCUUCACUUUUUCUUAUAAAUCUUGUUCCUUUUAAUCAAAAUAUGAUAGAUCUUUACCAUGAAUUGAGAUUUCGAGCGUAACAUCUAGAAAAUAAGGAACUUUUAACCUUUUCCGAGUAGUUCACCGAAUCAUCUCGAAUCGCCACGGCCACCGGCCGUUACACGAUUUUCCGCCAAGUUUCCGGCCGUGGAGAGCGCGUUUUCGAACAUGGGUUACAGAUGAGUGAUAUGUGGAUGUUUGAAAAAUAUGGAUAGCUACAUAUAGAAUAUAAGCAUGGAACGACACAUGUGGAUGAGUGUGGAAAGAUAAGCGUGGACGGGUAAACAUGGACGGCUAUUUGUGGACGAGUAAAAUUAAGAUUAAAAUUUAAAAUUCAACAUACUACAUAUCUCAUGGUGGAGGACUGUGACGAGCUCGAACCACCGCAGCUUCACCGAGCUCAUCCACGAUGAUGUUGAGCUUGGAAUCCAUGGUGUGGUUCACCGGGAAGAGGAGCUGACUCGUUUUGACCGGAGGUUUUGGAGGAGGAGAUGACUCGUUUUAACUUUUUUGGUUUGUUUAGCUUUGUUUUCAUCACUAAAGCUUGUUUUUUUCUCUAGACAUGUAGUGGUAGUUAUUGGUUUGAAAUCAUUAAUUUGUUCAUCCUUGAGAUUGUGGACACAUUGGCAACCAUAUCACCGUCUUUCAAUAUGUUACAUUUUGUUAUAUAUAUGUUUAGUAUUUGAUUUACUACUCUAUCCACCACAUCAAGUUUCAAUUCCCUAUCUACAAAUUUAAGAGAUCUCUCUUGUUCUUUAUUCAUGGUUAUGUUAGCGUCUAUAUCCACAGCAUAAUCAAAAUCAUCUUGUCCCCGUCCACAUACAAACAUUGUUGUUGGAGUUGUGUUCUUAAGCUCAACUAUUGUGGAGCUUACUCUGAUGAAGCUUCUGAAAUUUUUACAUGUAUCAUCCGUCCAUGCAUCGAAUGUCUAUUAAGGAUCAAGUUGUCCACAGUUUAUGGCUGGCCCACAACAAAGUGUCUCACAUGUAGGAAGUGGUUCUGAGUGCAAAUAAAAGCCAAAAAACGGCCUAGAGCUCUUCCAUCAAUCCACUGUUCUGGUAAAUAUCAAAAUCUCCAAUAUGCCCCUGGUUAAUGAAAUGAACCAAAACCAAAUUACUCCUUUUUCACUACCGACGUGGUGUUUGGUUUGACUUCAUGGUUACAAUCUUCAAAGCAGAUUCAUCAACCCUUCUUUUUCAACGGCCGAGCGUUAUUCCUGAAUGUAUGAUUCAUACUAUUAUCAAUGCCAAUUUUAAAAUUUUCAUUACUUAAUUGUUUGGCGACACAGGAUAUACCUAAUCGAUAUGUUGUAACCUCCCCCUACCAUUUAAAAUUCUCGGUGAUUUAUCGUUGUUGCCACUCCGUAAACCAAGUCAAUCAUGUGAAAACUUUAACAUGUAAGUAGUUUUUUUAUGGUUAUGUACUAGAGUAGCUAGAUAAAUAUUGAGACAACUCUUGAUUCCACAGAUCCUCCAGAAGGGCACAAAUAUAAUAAGAGUAAAGUUUUCAUUAAAACGUUACAUCAUAUUAAUUGCUCAAAUGAAAUGUAGUUGGGGAGUUAGCUUUGGUUUUAAUGACCCGCAAUCAUCUACUCCCAUUCAUAUCCCUAAGUUAUAAAUUAUUCUGAAAUGAGUUGGCGAAUCGCCAAGCGUAUUAUACAUACAUCCAUAGUAUUUCAUACUAGUGAAAAAUGACAAGCAUUAAAUUAUAAACAUAAAUUAUUGGAAAAAUAAUAAACAGCUACGCAAUAGUAAUGGAUCAUAGUGAUACAAUUCGAUGUGGCCUAAACAGUGACAGCACCAUAGGUCUUUAACUAAACCUAAAAUGCAACUUCCUCAAACGUGCAUCUACCAUUAUUGUUUAUAUAUAUGCACAAUUAUGUACGUCUGGAUAUGUACUAUUGUCAUCUGCAUUUAUAUAUAUAAUAUAUAUCCAUUAUCAAUAUAUGUCAUAGCUUCAUGGUCCAUCUUCUUCUGGAAGUCCUUUAUUUCCAGUUGUAUAGGUUAUUUUACUUAUGAGCUCUAUAUAUCUUUAUAAUGUUUUAUUUUUCUUUCUUAGAGAUUUCAAAUGUACAUAUGUGGAAUUACUUCCUCGACGAUGUGUUGAUAUAUAACUUAUCUGCAUCCUAUAACUUAUUGAAUUUAAUAUAUUAAAUAGAUAACGUCAGUAUGAGUAUGAUAACAUAACAAAUUAAAAACCGAUGUCUAAUUAAUGCUAACUAUAACUCUCAAAGCAAAAAUGUUGUAAAUAUUCGUAAAAGAUACUACGUUUAUGAAAUAAGCGAGACUUUGUUAUAUUUCAGGUUCGUAAAGUAAGAAACUAAGAAUAUGUGAACACAGAGCUACUUUACGAAAAUGGAGAUUAAUUUGUCUUAUUACAUAAAUCAAAGAGACUCUGGGUUCACAUAUUUUAUCUGCCUUUCCACAUAAAAUAGAAUAAGAUGCUUUUUCACGUUUGAAUAUGGUUCCGGAUAUUAUAUUAUCAUUUGUUAACCAGGCAAUUAGGUGGUUUGUAAGAAACUAAAUCUUCUUCGUGGUACGUCAACGUGACAUAUCGCUCGCUUCAUUGUUGGUAUUUUCUUUCUUUCUUAUAGACAACUCAUAAGAAAUUAUAUCACCAUAUCUUUACGUAUUCUAAAAACAUGUUUGAUUCCGCCUAUUCUUUUUUCAAAAAGACAAUUAUAUAUUCUUGUUGUUUUGUGAUUAUUGUCGAUCUAUUUAAAAAAAAAAAAAUUUUAUGACAAAGGUAUGCAUGGAGAACUAGAAGUUAAUCUUUUUAUCAAGACUAAAGAGUAGUCAAAACUCAAAAGCAAUAUAUUUUUUGGGGUCUACAAUUUAGUAUAUCAAAGCAGUAAAAAUUGUAUGGUCUGAUGGUCUCAUUAGUGGUUAAAAAUAUCUGCGUUUUAGGUACUCCAGGGUGUAAUCCUAUGGCAUCAGAUGUUAAAGAAAAAAACACAAGAAUCGUAUAUGUUGUUUAAUAAACAAUAACAACGUAGCUCUUUCAUGCGUACAUAUGUUUCAUGUAUCUAAAUAUCUAUCGUAUGUUUACAUAUCAUGAUUUUACAGAUGCAUACAAUAAUACGUAUGUAGGCAUGUGCGUUAACAAGAAUAAGCAAAUCUUAUCUCAACAAAUCACAUACUAUAAAACAUAUAAUUUUUAUCUUGCAAAUCGGUAUAGUUCGUCAUGUAUCUUCCAGUACAAUCAUACGAAUGAUCACAUUUGAUAUCAUCAGGAACGUGGUAGCCGUCAACGUACAACUGAGAUUUCUCUCUGUUUUUUCUUUUAUAAACUAGUACUAUAAUACAUAUAUAAUUGAUCAAUAAUGGAUCGCUUAAUUCCAAGAAAAAUACUAAUUAAAUUCAAAAGAACCGGUCAUUUCUUGUCAAACCAAUACGUAGAGAGUCAAUUGGUCACCAAUUUGAGUAAUUUAAAACCACUUGGAUCAACUUUUAGGUAAGACAUAAAUUAUAAUGAACAAGGUUAUUUAUAUAAUAAUGGACGACGUUGGGCAAUGAGAAAGAAAAGCCUCACUCAAAAUCCAAUGAGAAAUUACUUUUGUGAGGAGAUUAGUAGAUUACAAAAAGCUUAGCAUUUUUAAAUCUUAUUUUCCAUUUUUUCAAUAAUGGACUGCUUUGCUGAUAUAGAGAAGUCUUGAGAUCAAAGAUUCAUAUUAGGUAAACUGGUAAAGUUUAAAAUUAACGAGGUCUUCCCUGCUGUCAAAAGUUUAGUUGAAUUAUGCUUUGUUAAAUGGUUUACAACAAGGGAAAUAUAUUGCCUCUAUGUUAUAAUAAUGUACAAGUGCAUCUGUAAAAUCAAAAUAUACACUCGUAUAGAUUUGGUUGUUGAGACAUUUUUCUGCAUGUAAUAAUUUUCUUUUUAGAUUCAUAUUCGAGUAUGCAUGUAGUACUGCAUGAGCUUUCAUUUAGUGUGACUCUCAACUCAACUCAACUCAAAUUAAUUUAAUUUUAUGUUAUAGUCUAACCGUAACACCCAACGUAACACACAACAUCACAUAAGGUAGAUCUGUUACAUGAAAGCAUUAACGUAUGCAUGGGCAUCAAAUAGUGAUUUUUUUAGUUUUCUACCUGUAUCACUAGAAUAAUUAGCAUAUAAUUUGGUCAUGUAUGAUGCAACGUAAAAACAAGUAGGCCCAAGAGAGUGGAGGGACUAAUAAAUGGACAUACGCUGAGUUCAAUACAAAACCAACUAACUGGCCCAAGCCCGUAUCACAAGAGUUAGCAUUGGUUAGCAGGUUCCUAUCACAACUAUUUUCAUAAAAUCUUACGAAUAUCUUGUGUAACUACUAUCUAUUGUGAAGGUACAGAUGUAGUAGACUCGAUAUUUCGAAAUCAUGCUAUUAAAAGUACAUGGAAGUUUGAUGAUACAAGAUUAAUGAACUGACAAAUAGAAGACGAAGACUGCUCUGUUUCCAUCAUUAUCUCUCUCUCCAUUUACAUAUCUAAAGACACCUAAAACCUACAGAGGAACUAAAAUAGCUAACUAAGAGACAUCCUCUAAUACAAGACUCGCUAUCUGACUCUCAAUUUUCAGCUUUUGUUGUUGUUACUGCUGCUUAUCUUACUCCGUUUUUGACUAGGAGUUCUGAUAUCUCCAAGAGGUCCUAAGCGCAGAGAUAGAUCACACCCAUCGAAGGUAGUACUGCCCUUUGUUGCAUCAGUGGCAAUCACAGGUUUGCUGCUCUUGUUCGACUUGUACGAGUCAGUGACAUUGUUAGAUCUUGGCAAAGAAGAAACCAUGAAUGAAUAACACAAAGGGUAGCUUGAGUACUUGGAGACAGGGCAUCUCUCGACCCACUUCUCUUGAACAUCGCUGUGAAAACUCAUAACCUGAAGAUUCUUCGGACAAAAGUUGUUCUGUUUCAUGAAGGCUUGGUAUUGCGGAGACAAAAUGUUGUCCAACUUAGUUGAGUCUUGGCUAAGAUAACAUCUGGGGUUUAUGUUCCGUUGGCUUCUUGAAGCUCUCCUUGGCGUGCAACCCAAAUGCAAAGCAGCUACAGAAACAAAAAGAACAAGACUAAGAAGAAGAAUCAAGAGAAGUGUAAUAGUUCAGAUUGUAUACGGUAUACCUUCAAUACAAGGCUGAAGAAACUCCCCUUUUUCGGUGGUCUCAUCGAGUCGGAUUAUGGUGUUAAUGGCCUCGUUUGUACGGUCCAAAAGUGUAUUCAUGUCCAUAUACUCAGCCUAACAAUGAAGUAAAUCAAAAUAUAUAGUCAAGACUCAACUAACUUGGACACUUUACUUACAAAUCUAUUAUUUAAGUACAUAUACAGUGACAUGAGUUCCAAUGUUCAUUAUGUGGAGCAGAACAUCACAAGUAACACUGUAUCUAUCUCACUGUUCAAUGAACUACUUCUCUGUUCCACAAUAACUGAAGCUAAAUUACUGUUGAGAAACAGUCUUUUAAAUUUCGAAAUUAAUUUUUUUUUUUUGGAGAAUGAAAAUGUAAUAAAGAAAAGAACCUCAGAAUUGGCUUUGGAGUACAUGAUUUCUUCAGCUCUCAAGACAACAACAGGGAGCUUCUCUUGCCAUUCAGUGUUCUUCUUGGUAGAUUGGCUGUGAAUCUCACAAACAAUCCUGCCAAAAAAUAGGUUUCAUAUAACAAUUGAGCUAAAAGAAAACAAAGAAGGGACACAUGCACACCUCUACAUACACUGUUACAGAGUGAGAGAGAGAGAGAGAGAGAGAGAAGAUGACCUGAAAAUCUCUUGGAUGAGCAAACCCCUUAUGGGUUGGUGUCUGUCACUAUGCCAAACUCUUCUGAUGCAUUCGUACGGUCUUGGUCUUGGC
rnacentral:lncRNA from 1 species